rnacentral:lncRNA from 1 species
UUUCUUCAAUCGGCAUUGCUACGAUUUCUUACGUUUCUUCCGAAUCACUGAGCGUGCGUGGAUACAGACACGAUUAAUACUACUGUUUCAUCUUCUUCUUCUUUUUUUUAACGGUUUCUCUGUUUCUGUCUCAUUUAAAGUUUUGAGAUUGCAUUUAUGGCUAGCUAAAAACUAAUGCCCUCCUUUUUUUUUUUUUUUGGUUUAGGACAGAAGACAAGACCUCAGUGUAGUUUAAGUCUUUAAUGCUGAGGAAUCGUGUGUAUAGAUUCUUCAUCCCCAAUUUAGUUGCAGAUCUGGAACUUUUACUGGGUUGAUUUAUCGAGAAGAACCAAAAAGGUUUUUUGAUUUGCUCUUUAAUCCUCUGCUACUCUUGUUUUUGUGGUAAUGGCUGAGAGAGGCAAAUAUCUUGUGGGUUUGGUUUGUGAUUGUGAUACUGCUUUAGCUCUUAUGUUCACGGGGAAUCUCACCUUUGCAAGUUUUAUGGCCGUGUAAAAUGAGAUAUUUAUUUAAUGCAGUCACAGCAAGAUUUAUUGGCUUCUCUAUGCUUUUGAUUCAAAACCCAAGAAAGAUGUGAUGAUUCUUGAUUUUAAAUUUGCUUUUGACAGUUUUGUAUUCUGUGUCUCCAGGUUCGCUUUGUCUCCCACAAGUGAUGGUUGUAUGACUCACAUGCAUGUCCUUUGAAUCUGUUCAGCAUCAAGAAGCUUUCCCUUUGAAUGGAUAUGUCUGGUAAAUUUUGUUGUUUGACGUUUUGGCUGGUCUCAAGUUUCUGUUUUUGGGUUCCCUGUGGAUGAAACGAGGACACUUCUUGAAUGCCAUGGGGACCAAUCUUGAAUCUGAGACAGUUAGAUAUUGAGUCUUUGCAGAUACUUACUUGGAUUUUUCCUAUUGAAGGUAUUGAAGAAAUCAGCACCUUUGACGAAUUUAGGGAGAGAAGAUCAGACUUUGAAGUCUCUGAAGAUGAGAGACGGCGCUCAAAAAUAGGGAAUUUGAAGAAGAAGGCCAUUAAUGCUUCAACCAAGUUCACUCAUUCUUUGAAGAAGAGGGGCAAAAGGAAAAUCGAUUAUCGGAUUCCUGCUGUCUCCAUUGAAGAUGUAAGGGAUGAAAAAGAGGAGAGCGUUGUGCUCGAAUUUCGCCGUAAGCUUCUCGAGAGAGAUUUGUUGCCUCCUAGACAUGAUGAGUACCACACUCUUCUGAGGUUCGUCUGUUCUUUAGUAGCUACAUACACACUCUGGUCGCUUUAGCUACAAAUAUGAUGUGUUGCUAAUACUGUCAAGCUAAUUAACCAUUCAUUUUGAAAAUGUAGGUUUUUGAAAGCUCGGGAUCUUAACAUUGAAAAAACCAUCCAGAUGUGGGAAGAAAUGCUGCGAUGGAGAUUAGAGUAUGGGACAGAUACCAUACUAGAGGUACGGUGUUAAUGGUUCAAGUUCAGCUUGUUUGUUGUGUCCUAUAAAAACUAAGUAACUUCUGGUACACAGCUAGUUUAAAACCAAAAUACAAUGGCUGAAAACUUAUAAAAACGUAGUAUAUUAAUAUGCUUGAUAUUUGGAUGCACACAUCUAUAUUCAUCUUCUUAAUUAGUUGAUGGAUUCAGUACCAAGCUCCUAUAAUUUUUAUUCUUUUAUGUGGAUGUUAGGACUUUGAUUUCGAAGAGCUUGAAGAAGUUUUGCAAUACUAUCCUCAAGGCUAUCAUGGAGUUGACAAGGAAGGAAGACCUGUCUACAUUGAAAGACUUGGGAAAGCUCAUCCCGCUAAGCUUAUGCGGAUCACCAACAUAGAUAGAUAUUUAAAGUACCAUGUGCAAGAGUUUGAGAGAGCUCUCCUGGAAAAAUUCCCUGCAUGCUCAAUUGCCGCAAAGCGUCGAAUCUGUUCCACGACUACAAUACUAGAUGUGCAAGGAUUGGUAGUUAUUUAAGUUCUUACCAAGAGAUUCCUGCAUUUUGUUAUGCUUUAAAGUAGAUUUUUCCCUCUAAGUGCUUCUAGAUUCUCAUCUUUGCAGUGUCAUGUUAAUGACAGGGAAUUAAGAACUUUACACCAACAGCUGCAAAUCUUGUGGCAGCCAUGUCAAAGAUUGACAAUAGCUACUAUCCUGAGGUACUUGAGUUUUUGAAUUUUGAAUUUUGGAUUUCAUAUCUUCUUCACAUGCAUUCCCGGUUGAUUGAAGUCAUUAUAUUAUUUUGCAGACGUUGCAUAGAAUGUACAUAGUAAAUGCUGGAACCGGUUUCAAAAAGAUGCUUUGGCCUGCUGCUCAAAAGUUUCUUGAUGCAAAGACCAUUGCAAAAAUACAUGUACAGCUUUUCAGCCUUGUUUUUUUUAAUUUGGUCAACUAUUGCUCUGUGUAGUUCAUCUUAUCACUGUCAAUGCAGGUGCUAGAACCCAAAUCUUUAUCUAAGUUGCACGAAGUCAUUGAUUCAAGGUAGCUUUCUUUCCAUUUUGAACAACAACUGAAAAAAUUGAGGAUAUCAUGUCUAGCCAAUACUUACGAGCUCUGGUGCUCUGUGCUUUAGUCAAUUGCCAGAAUUCCUUGGAGGUUCAUGCUCUUGCUUUGGUGAUGGAAGAGGGUGUCUUCGUUCUAACAAAGGACCCUGGAAUGAUCCUGAAAUAAUGAAGGUACAAUCUAAAUCUUAUCAGAUUUUGCUUUUACUUUUCGAGAUUGUUGUUCUUCCCUAAAAAAAACUUUUAAGUAGGAGUCAGCUUUGUACAUGAAGCUCAUUUUAGAUCUAUUCCUUGAUUAGCUCAUCCACCGUGGAGAAUCGUCACUUUUUAGGCAAAUCACCAGGAAGCUGAGCGACCCGCAGAAUUCUUCCUCCUACAUAAGUAUACAUCCAUCGACGGUAAAUGGCUCUAUCAGACCAAUUUCUCUGUUUGUUGUAGAACAUAUUUUCCGGUAGUAUGACAGUGUAGCUUUGCAUUUUCUAGGCUAUGCAAGCAGAGACUUCAGCAGCCGACUCGGUAUCUUGUUCUGAUGUUCCUACUUCUCCAACUGGAAGAAUGUGCUCAUCAUCUGCUCGUGUGAAUCUAACUUAUGAGGAAGUGAGUUCUUGUGUUGGUACAUUUGUAUCACAGACUACUCUAGUUUCUUAAUACUGACCGGAACAAUAUGAUCUAUGCAGUCUAGAGCAUCGGAUGUUAACGGUUAUUUUAGUUGCGAUGACAAGUUUGCCGUACCUGACAAAGCUGGUAACCGAAGAAGCCAAGAAAAGUCAUCCCAUUACCAAACGCUCGGACUCAAUCAAACAACUCUCGGUUUAAAAUGUGAGACAUCUCAACCAGGUUAUACUUCUUAUUCAUGCUUUACUGCUAAAACAAUUCCAUUACAUAUGGUUUUUCUUUUUGUCUGUAAUGAAACAGAUUUCCUAUAUAAUUUUCUCACCUUUUGGAUUUCAUUUUCCAUCUGGUAUCUUGUAGGUGCUCCCAUCAUUAGUUGGCUUCAUGAGUUAAGGGGGAAAAUUGACAAGAUAAAAUGUGAGAACCUAGCAAAAAGGCUACUUUCUUUAAUGCUGAAACUAGCUGCAGUUUUCCGUUAUACCCCGUUUGAGCUUCUGAGAAGCCAGACCACAGUAAGCCCUUCAAGUCCAACAGAAGAUGAGAGUAGAUGCAGCCUCAUCCCAACUCCUAGACAGCCCACAAUGAAAGACCGGAUUCUUCCAUGUUUAGAGCGAAUUCAGAAACUGGAGAAAAGUUAUGAGGAUAUCCGGAACAAACCCGUUGCCAUACCUGUGGAGAAGGAGAGAAUGUUGAUGGAUUCGUUAGAAAGAAUCAAGUCGGUUGAGUUUGAUCUCGAUAAAACAAAGAGGGUACGAUACCUUUCUUAAAUGUCUUAACCUUCAAACUUAUAUAUUCAGUAUGGGGACUUAAAAUAUUUUCAUUGCAUGGUUGCAGCUUUUACACGUCACUGUGAUGAAACAGAUGGAGAUAACUGAAAUGCUGCAAAGUUUGCGAGAUUCCCAACUUCACGUAAGUACUUAUUGGUUCAGUAUAGCAACAAACACAUCUUGAUGAGAUGACUUUAACACUCGAGAUUGUUGUUUUUGCAGAGAAGAAGAAGAUUGUUCUGUUAAAAGCCUUAAGAGAACAUCUGAGUUUUGCACAAAUACCAAUCUGCACAUACAGCGAGAGAAAGAGAGAACAGAUCCCGAUAACAAAACACAUGUUAGGUUCUUUAGCUCCUUCCCUACUCUAACUUGGUUCACAACUUUUUUCUCUUUUUUUAAAUAGGUCCCUCUGCUUCUACUUUUUUAAGUUAUAAAAGAAGAAGAAGAAGAAGAUAAGGACAGAGAAAACCUCUGAGGAUCAGUCAUGUCUUUGAUAAUUUAGAUUGAAAUCAGAGUUUGAAGUACCAAACCCUUUUGUUUGUAAUCGGUGUAGAUAAGAAACUACACUAUGCUAAACAAAUGAGAUUUUGUAAAUCCUUUUUAAGGGUAUUUUGAUAAUGAGAAUACACUACGAGUCUCUGAAGAACCAAUUUGUUUAACAUUCAUUUCUGAUGAUUCAUAGAGCAAAACGAAUCAUCCCUCUAAGCUUAUGCUAUCGUGACGACGCUACCAUAAGAUAGAUAUAUAUUUGAAGAACCAAGUGCAAGAGUUUGAUAGAGCACUCGUGGAGUGGAGGCAAUAUGUAUGUAGAUUGGGAUCAAAGUUUUAAGCACCAAAACCUUUUUUGUUGUAAUCGGUGCUGUAGAUCACAGUAUUAAGUCACUAAAGCUAGACAAAUGAGAUUGUGUUUAAACCAAAACACAUAUACAACAUGAGAUUUUGCAAAUCUUUUUAGUAGGCAUUUUUGAUAAUGAGAAAGUUAAACAUUUAAGAGUCUCUGUAGAAUCCGCGUUUGUUUGACAUAAUAGAAGCAAACUAUAGCAUAAAAUGAUUAAUUGAGAAUCUGAUCUUCCAAGUGGAUUUUGCAGUUGUUAAAUUUUUUUAUAUGAUUUGAUUAGAGAGAGUGUUUUUUUUAAAAAUUGCAUAAUAAUAUGAUAUGAUCUUACGAAAGCAGCGAGGUAAAAGACAAAACAGCCCUCGUAAUCAGAACCACUGUAAAUACGAAUUAUGAAAGGGUAAAACCGUCAACUAAAUGUCACAUAUGUAUGUUUUGGAUUAACUGUUAAGAAAGAAAAAAUAAAGGAAAUUUAAAAAAAGGAAAAAACUGAGACCGUCCUUUUCCACUGUGGUGAACAAACCCCAAAGAUAAAUUUCGCUAUUCCUCUCUCUCUCUCUUCUUCUUCUUCUUCUUCUCCGUUCGUGUUCUGAACUCGCUCUCCAUCGAUCCGAUGUUAUUUUAUGCAACUCGAAACUUAAUUUAGAUUCAUUUUUUCUUUUUCCUGGAUUCCGCUAGACAAAUCCGUUUUGAAUUGCACGAAUUGCUUCUUCGCCAGGUGAAUCUAUCAUCAAUCCUAGGUUUUCUCCGCCUUUGAUUAUAUUUUUCUGUUCAUGUUCCUGAGUUUUUGGAAUUGAUAUUUCGGUUGUUAGGGUUUGUGCUUUUGAGGCUUAUUCAUAAUUGGUUUCGUUUCUCCUUCUUCGAUUAUGUCGGUAGUUUAGGUUUCUUCGAGCAUGGACUUUGAUUUAUGAUUGCAUAAUCUCUCAUGGAGUCCUGAUCUUCUACUUGAUUGUCCACUUCAUACGAUUUGAUGUUAGGAGUUUUUAAGUUUAAUCUCUUGGUGAUUUUGGAUUCUACUCUACUGUAGCUUUAUGUGGUCCAUUGCUUUCGGAUUUCAUUAACAAUAACGGUGCUUUUCGGCUAUGAUGAUGCAGGUCCCGUUUUUGUUUUUAUCAACUGAAGAAUGUCCAAUUACCAAGGGGACGAUGCUGAGUAUAUGGAUGAUGUUGAUGAUGAAAUGGAAGAUGUUGAUGAUGAUUUCGAUGAGGAUUUUCGUGGCGAUGAUCUGGCUGAAUCUGAUUCCGAUGUCGACGAGUUUGACUACUCUGUAAGUAUCCCUUUUUUGAAAUUUAUAGCACCAAUAUAGACUAAUAAUUAUUCUGCAAUCUCUCUUACUCUGUUGUGUGGAUUCUUUCUUUUGUAUUCAGAAUAAUAAAAUAGCUGAUACUUCAGCUGACCAAGCCCGGAAAGGGAAAGACAUCCAGGGGAUUCCUUGGGACAGGCUUAGUAUUACGAGAGAGAAGUACAGACAAACUAGACUAGAACAGUAUAAAAAUUAUGAAAAUGUCCCUAAUUCUGGGGAAUCCUCAGGGAAAGUAAGUCUUUCAUUCAGCUUGUUGUCAACAUGUUUCAUGUAUAUUGAUUUCAAUUGUUACAAUUUUAUUUGUUGCUUAUUGAACACAGGAUUGCAUGGUCACACAGAAAGGGGCCGUUUUUUAUGAUUUCUGGCGGAAUACAAGAUCUAUCAAAUCAAGUAUUCUUCAUUUCCAGGUUCAUAUCAUUGAAGCAAUAUAUAAUUUUUUUUUUCUGUCGAUGUUCUUUUGGUAAUUUUAAUCUGUAUAUCAUGUGUAUCGGUAAUGAGGCUGUAUGCAAUUCGUAGAACGUUUAUUCUGCUAAAAACUUCUCUACGCGUACAUCUAAGUAAAGGUCUUUUUCGUUGGAUUGUAGUUGAGGAAUUUGGUUUGGGCAACUUCUAAGCACGAUGUCUACCUCAUGUCACAAUAUUUGGUGAGCCACUAUUCUACUUUGACAUCUGGAAAGCAUGAAGUUCUCAAUGUUCAAGGUCAUGUUUCCCCAUCCGAGGUUAGUUUGUUCCAGAAUGCUAAAAGGCUCUUCCUUUAAUACCUACAUAAAUUAAUAGUGGUUCUUUGUUCUUGUGUGGGUGCAGAAACAUCCUGGAAGUUUGUUAGAGGGGUUUACGAAGACUCAAGUGAGUACACUUGCAGUGAGAGAUAAAUUUCUAGUUGCCGGCGGAUUUCAAGGAGAACUUAUAUGCAAGGUAAGCUCCAGGGUUUCUACUAAUCAUGGAAUUCGGACAACAAUUACACACAAGCUAAUCAAGGAACUUACAUCUAUUCUUGAUUCAGCAUCUUGAUAGACCUGGUGUGAGCUUUUGUUCACGUACAACUUAUGAUGACAAUGCUAUAACCAAUGCGAUUGAGAUUUAUAACAAGCCCAGGUAUUUGCAUGUCUUUUGCUUGGGGUUGUUUUUGCCAACUUGUACGACUUACAUCUUCUAACUGGCCUUUUGGCGCCUGUCUGUUGCAGUGGGGCGCUUCAUUUCACUGCCUCGAAUAAUGAUUGUGGAGUCAGAGAUUUUGAUAUGGAGAGAUACCAGCUUGUUAAUCAUUUCCGCUUUCCUUGGCCGGUGAAUGUAAGUCUCUACUUGUUUCUUGAUUUUUUGGUAUUGGCUUUGGUAUAAGCUGACAUGUAGCACCUGUGGUAGUAAGUUUCAGUUACAAUUACGUUAUUGGAUCUCUCAUUCCUCUUUUACAUUACAAAGUCAUAUAAAGAAUGGGUAUUAGUUGACAUGUAGGCUGUAGAACUUCUGGCUGUAAGUUUCAGUUACAAUUAUGUUACGGAAAUCAUUUGACUAAAUGGGUUUUUUUUUUUUGGUAUUGAACAGCACACAUCUCUAAGUCCUGAUGGUAAAUUAUUGACGAUUGUGGGAGACAACCCAGAUGGCCUUUUGGUCGACCCCAACACAGGAAAGGUACAUAUAUGAUCUCUGUGUUUAAGUAUCCCGGCAUAAAUUUGCUUUUCUUACUCAGUUUGGAAUAUUCGACAGACGCUGGGAACGGUAUCAGGACAUUUGGACUUUUCCUUUGCAUCGGCAUGGCAUCCAGAUGGGCUCACUUUCUCAACGGGUAACCAGGACAAGACCUGCAGGGUUUGGGACAUUCGCAACCUGUCAAAAUCUGUUGCUGUCUUGAGGGGUAACCUUGGAGCAAUCCGAUCCAUCCGCUACACAUCGGAUGGGAAAUACAUGGCCAUGGCUGAGCCGGCUGACUUUGUCCAUGUGUACGAUGUCUCAAACGGGUAUGAAAUGGAGCAAGAGAUUGACUUCUUCGGGGAGAUCUCGGGAAUAUCCUUUAGCCCUGACACAGAAGCGCUCUUCAUUGGUGUUUGGGAUCGCACUUAUGGAAGUCUGAUUGAGUAUAACAGGCGCCACAACUACUCCUACCUUGAUUCAUAUCUAUAAUCACCCGACAUGUCAGAGGAAUAAAAGAGCCUAUACAUAUGUGCUGCACUCUCCUGUCGCUUUGUUAGACUGAGAAACCCGAGAACAAAAAAAAAACAUAAAACUCAAGUGGAUCUCAAAUGCUGUAAAUGAUGUGUUGUGCAAGUGCUAUUAGGACAGAGAGCCGAUUUAGUUAGUUGAUUUUCAUUUAUCGAGUGUUGAAAAGUUCAUGUAUGUGUACAUAUGUGUUGAGCUUCGGCGAGUUUGCUGCAUGGUUCGAGCCUGUGGCUUGUUUGUUAUCUGGCUACGGUCAGUUGUAGGUACUCAAUUUCAGAGUUGAUUCUGCCGAUUGUUGGAUUAAUUAUAUUAUAAUGGUUUCAUAACUAUAUGAUCCUUUUACGUGUGCGUAAUAUAUAUAGGUGGGUGAACAACUAAACUAAAUCGAUUGAACAAGAAAACACCAAGGUCGUAUAAGUAAAACCGCGUGAACAAGAGGGGCUUGAAGGCAAUUAUAUUUUCCUGAAAAUCUUAUAAUCCAGAAAGAACCAACGAGAGAAUGCCACAUCAUCCAUCCGUAAUCGUAUCCUCACAAACAAAAUCUUGCAUCUGCUUCAUCUCCCAUUAGGUGCUCUCUCCCUAGAAGCCAAACUCAAGAUCAUAAAUCCAAACCACUCAUUUCUCCUUUGCUGAAAAAAUUUCUUGGAGAAAGAAGAAGAAGCAUAAUGGCUACAAGCGCAUCUGCAUUGCUCUCACCAACCACAUUCUCCACUGCCAUCUCUCAUAAGAACCCUAACACCAUCUCAUUCCAUGGCCUUCGUCCUCUCCGUCUCGGUGGCUCAUCCUCCUCCGCCUUACCCAAACUAUCAACCACCUCCGGAAGAAAAUCGUCCUCCGCCGUCGUGAGAGCUGAGCUUAGCCCUUCCGUGGUCAUAAGCCUGAGCACAGGUCUCUCCCUCUUCCUCGGCCGUUUCGUCUUCUUCAACUUCCAGAGAGAGAACGUAGCGAAACAGGUACCGGAGCAGAACGGGAAAACCCACUUCGAAGCUGGAGAUGACCGUGCUAAAGAGUACGUCAGCCUCUUGAAAUCAAACGAUCCAGUUGGAUUCAACAUCGUCGAUGUUCUUGCUUGGGGUUCUAUUGGACACAUCGUUGCUUACUACAUCUUGGCUACUUCCAGCAAUGGGUACGACCCCAGCUUCUUUGGCUGAUUUAUCCCAUCUCUCUCUCUCGUAUAUGUAUAUGUUUGACUUGUUCCGCAAGCUAUCUAAUCUAUUCUCUAUCUCUGUUUCUUCAUAUUCUUCUGUUGUUGUUGUUGCUGUCCAAGACUUCUCCCUCCUUUUGCAACUAUUUUAUUUCGCCAUUUACAAAAUUUAAGAAGAAGAAUGGAAACAUAGAUGAAAUUACAUUUUCUUAUUACUCUCAAUAUUUCGAUUUAGUUUGAGCUAAUUGGUCUGAGAACAUAAGUGAUUUCGUUAAGCUAAUCUCAUACCUAAAGAGUCUAGGAUGUUCAAAAUUUGAGAAGAUACAACCAAUGUUAUAAAGCUGAGAUGAUAAAACCUUCUGAAUCCUUAUGAUUCACAUCCUCAAUGUUAAAUCCAAUGUUAUAAACUGACAAAAUAAAACCAAAUUUAAAAAUCUGACAAGAUAAACCAUUGUAAUAGAGAGGGUAGUGUCUAUAGAAAAGCAAGUCUGAAUCCUUAUGAUUCACAUCCUCAACCAAAGAUGAGUUGGCAUGUUUUUGAACCUCGAGAAGAAAGUGACAACUCCUGGAUCAUCACAUCCACUGUGUCUGCAGCAUAAGAUGGCGCAAACAAGAUUGUGGCAGUCUUUAAGCAGAGAGCAUUUCUCAAGAUAUAUUUAGCCACAUUCAUCUGGUUCUGCAAUGCGUACAUCUCAGUCCACUUGAAAGUCUCCACACUUGACAACAAACAUCUAGGAACACUGUUCAGUGCACUGUCCCAAUUAUUUGGAAAUUCCACACGCCGGUCUGGAUGAUACUGAGACCAAACAUGAGACUUUAGAUUAAUAACUAUAGUAAUAAUAUUAAAGCAACAGGAUAUGUCUCUUACAUGAGAAAACUUACAUCUAUCAGAUAGGUCUCAAUCUCUCGUAAAUUAGGAGAAUCCUUGAGUAGCCGAGCAAGUGAAAUUGAACAACUUGAAUCACAUGAACAUAUCUUCAGAUGUUUGAGAUGGUUGAAGACAAUACCCUCGCUAUAUAAAGCCUGCACAAGAUAACAAAAGAUUCAACCUCAAGAAAACACUUGAGAUGGUUCAAAAACAAUAUUGAUGGAUGGAUGGAUAGAAACAGAUUUACCGGUUCGAUGUAGACUCCUAAGCAUAAAGAAAGCCGCGUAACAGAUGUGAUUGAUCCAAAAAACCUUUUGAUGUUUUGGAAUGUCAGUACGAAACCAGCCUCCUCCAACUUCGGCAUAUCUUGAAAUGAGUAGGAGAAUAUAGGACUAUCACUAUCAUUCUCGUCUUCACUCUCACUCUCUAGCCUAUGAUCAGUGACUUCCAAAUACUUCAGAGAAGGAGUAUUAAUCAUAAUCCCAUCAAGAUAACAAGGACUAUACAUCUUUAGGGUUAGUCUCUGCAAUGACUUGACCAUCACUAUCAAUUUCUCCAAGUUGUCAAUUUUAUCUCGUUCCACAAAUAGAUCCUCAAGAACAGGGCACUUAGACAGAAGUUGGUGAAGAGAAUUUUCACACGAGUAGGUCACACGUCGAAGGGACAAAGUUUUGAGGGAGGGGAGACAUACCAUAGGAUGCACAGACACGAAAAUGUCGUCGUCCAGUUUCAAGAUCACAAGCGAUUUGGAGACAUACAAGUUACUAGGCAAUUUAGUUUGACUAUUGGCAAAAGAAAAAAGCUUAAGACUUAACUCACGGACGCAGAGGAGAACUGCAAGUGAAACCCACAGUGUGAUAUAUUUAGGUUUGAUUCCUCCAAUUGCUCCAUGGCUAAACUUGAGACGCAAGCUUUCGAGAGCUUUAUGUAAUGGCAGAUUCAAAUCAAUAAAUUCCCGUAACAUCUGGCCUUGAGGCACUGAAAAGUCACUACAACGGUACUCAAGCUUAGGCAGCCACAUCCAAAGAACCUCCCUCCGCUUGGAUAGAAGACUUGUGCUUACAGCCUCUUUUGUUGGAAGAAAUGAUAUAUAGUACCUUCACAAGCACCUCAUCAGGCAACGAACUGAUCUUGUCCAUAUCUUCACAAUCUGCACGUUUCUCUUCGUUGGUCAUAACCCACUAAGGACUUGUAGAUCUAUAAGAAACUUGGAAUCUGGCCGAGUAACCAAGAACAAUAUAUAUAUAGCCAACACAACACAAGAGAGAACAUAGACAAGAUAAAUAAGAAACUCUUCUCUUGUGAAAGUAGGCUUAAUAGUCAGGCUUAUAGAGAAGAACAAAAAGUACGCUUCUCUAGGACCGGCUUUAAUAUGAAUGAUUUAAUGCCUUGCAUGCCUAGGGCAAACGAAACGAUUUCUUCUCUUAAUUAAUUUUCUUAAUGAAUAAAAUAUGAAGGAAAGCUUUUCCAAAUUUACUGAGCAUAAUAAACAUAUUGUUACUGUCGUCCCAUUCAUGUAAAUCUCUUGAGUAAAAGAUAUAUACCUACAAGCACCCGUUCAAGUUCUAUAGAGAUAACCCAACACUUCAAGCAUAAAGUUUGGCAUAUAAUUUAGAUUUCAGGAUUAUAAUAAUAAAGUUCAAACAAAACACAAAGUUGAAUGAAAGAGUUGCCCUACGGGCAGUUCUACAACUUAUUAUUAAACGCAAGUUCUCAUAACAGAAAAUAUAAAGUAACACCAAACCAAGAAGACAACCAUUGAGAAACACUACUCACUUGUACUUGCAACUGCAUCCAUGCCAGCUACAGUUUCCAUUGCCUCAGUCGCAGCUACAGUUUCCACUGCUUCAGUCCCGGCUUCAGUUUCCGCUGCAUUGGUGGCAGCUACAGUUUCUACAACCUCGAUCCCAGGUAUAGUUUCGGUUUUAACAGUAGCAGCGACAGUUUCCACAGCAUUGAUCGCAGCUAACAACUCCAUGCUAACCCUCUACUUUUUCUUAAGAUAUUUCUCUUCAUAAUCCUGUUUAACAAUCAUAAACCAAAUUCAUUACAUCUCAUUUUCGAGAAAAAUAAAACUUAGAUGAUCAGAAUGUGUUACCUGUUUAUCAGAUUCAGAGAGAUUGCUCCACAUCUUCCCAAUUUCCUUGGUGAGAGAUCCCUUUGCUCCAGUACCCAACUCGCCUUUAAGCUUAGCGCAUUGCUCGGAAAAGAAGAAGUUAUAAGCACUUCUUGGUGGCUUAGGUCGCUGAGGACCCUCCUGAUUAUGAGAUGUUUUGACUCUCUUAUUCUUGUGUCUUUGAGUUUUCGGAGGCGCUUGAUCACGCAUCUGGAAUAUCACUCCUCUGAGCUCUUCCGAGCCCAUCUUCACUUUUAUAAAAUAACCGUUUUCGAAUUUCCCAUCGAUGACCCCAUUAAACACAAAUCCAGGUUUCGCUUCUUCAACUGCUGAAAUAUUUUCAGGAAACAAAUCACAACACUCAAAAUAAGAUUAAAAGAAAAAGAAAAAAGAGAGACCAAAAAAUAGGAUAUUUAAGUACCCAUGUCGUCAUGGAUUGCAGAUUUCUCAACAAGCCGCAUUAAUGCUUUUUCUGCCAAAAAAAGACGAACAAAGUAUAUAUUAAUAUCUCUGAUCAUUUUGGAGAACUAUAUUAGAAAGAGAGACAUAAUUAAGAAAACUCCUUUGGUAUUUUCAUACCUCUACUCGGAAACUCAGAAAGUGGAGCUUUGAAGUAAUACACAUGCUCAAAUUCGAAAAGCAUUUGCAGAUAAUUUUUCCUUAGAACACCUACUGCAUUUGAAAUUGUUGUCUUGAACUGGAAUGCAUCCAUCACUUCUUUGCAUCUACGAUCCCUGAUCACCUAGAUAUUGAUAUAUAAGAUUAAACUAUAAAACAUGAUCGUACGUUCUUGAAUGAAUACUUUAAUGAAUCACAAUAUAUAGCUUCAAAACUUCAAGGUUCAAUGACACUAUUGAAGAACUUGUUACCAUUUCAAGACCACCUCGAGAUGUGACCUCGCAGAAAAGCCGGUGCAGAUCGAGACUGUCUCCACCCACAAUAGGAAUCCUUUUACAAAAUUAAAGGAAAAAAAAAUCAGAAAUAUUCCAAGAAAUAAAAUCUUAUUGAAGAGAAUAAAUCAAGUUAAGCAAAAACAAUCAACAUAUAUAUGAAAAGAGGACCAAAACUAUUCCCAUUUCCCAACAUGUAACUUCUAAAACAAGUUAUUUGCCAUUAAAGGGAACCGAAAAAAGACACACUCCUUUUCUUUUUUUGGAACAAAGAGACACACUCUUAAACCUCUUCAUGGCUUAGCAAAUAUAAAUUUUAUGAAAACCAAAUCAUAGACUGAUUAUGGACUAUUUAUUCAAGAACAAACUAGAUCAAUUUAAUAAACUACAUACACUUGCUUGCCUUAAAGAUAUGUAAACCUAAUAAAUAUGCGUCCAUCUCUUCAAAUGAAUUUCAUAUAAAAUCAUAUUAAAAUAUAUGAGUUAUUUUUUUCUUUUCAAAUUAGUUUUUGGGCCAAGGCCCAUAUACAGUUUUUCUUAGGGAUCACUUUCUAGGGUUUUCAUUAAAAUAAAAAACCGCCGCCCUCCGAACGUUGAACGCUCAAACCUAGAAAACACAUCAACUUAUUCUUUUGAAAGGUGAUGCCUGUGUACACGUCAUUUAUAACACACCACACAAAGGAUCGGGAACAAAAUUGCAGGAACCUCUACUAAAUCCAUCAGUUUAAUGAAGGUUAUGAUUUUUCCAUCCACGAUAAUAAUUUGCAAAUCAGUAGAUUCGUCAAGAACAUAUAGAAUAAAAGUAAAAAUAAUUUAUGACAGGAAAGGAAUAACUCACUUAAAAUUUCUUCUUGAAGAUUUGAAAAAACCUCGUAGCCUAUCCCAGAAAAGUACAGGGUUUUGGACAAGAAUCUGAUACAUUGAUGGACGAGAGGAAUCGCCUUUUUCUAACGCAGAAGAGUCAGCAAGAACCACUUUAACUUGAGAAGGAUCUGUCGACAUAAUUUUGUUUGGAUUGUUUUUUGGUCAAAGGUUAAAAAGUUUUGGUUCAACUUUCAGAAAUAAAAUGACUGUAUUUUAAAAAUCUUCUUAUCUAGAAUUAGAGGUCAAAUAUUUAUAUAAAAAUUUUCUCUUUUUGUCUACACCACAUUGAAAACUACACUACAUCUUUUUACUUUCUUUUUCUUUUUUAACAUAGUCAACACGUUAAUUAAUUUUAAUUUACAGUUUAUAAUAUAAAGUCAAAUUAAUUGUAUUGGGUUUUGAAAGAAAAAAAUGUAGUAAGAGGAAAGGAUUUUAUUGAUAUUAAAAUCUUAAGUAAAGUGAAUGAUUUUUGCUUUAAUAUUGGAAUAAUAUAAAUUGACCGUUAUCGAUUUUGUUAUAUUGUAUUAGUCUUUUUCUGGAAAAAGUUACAAUUGACUUUUUUAUCGUCUAAUAAUAUAUAAAAAAGGAGAAUACAAAGAUGAAGCUAAUAAACGGAAAUAUUAAAACUACAAAAAUUAUGACUAGAACAGAGCCUCACCGUCCACUAUGUCGAUCGCCAUCUAUCCUAGCAUGAAGCCAUACCGGACCUCCUAACGCCAGAUAUGAGGUAAGACGUCCAUCUCGUGUGACGUUGCAUGAUAUGUCCCGUUCCACCGAGUUGGCUUUCGGAGAGGAAAAUAUGAAAGUCGUCGUAUGCAUCUUAUUGAGAAUUUGUUGUAUCUUUACUAGAAGGGGGGCGCGAUAUUUAUGCCACACCAAAAGCUUUUCUAAAGCUGCAACGCAGCUCCACAAUCGGACCACACCUCACACAAAUCAAAGUGUAAAUCAUGAAGACCCCGGAGGCAACACAAGAAACAUUGCAACUCCGCUGCAAUUAUGUCCAUCGACCUAAAAGCGUCUCUAGAAUGGACAAGAACUUCUCCUACUUGGUUACUCAAAAUCCAAGCUCGAAUAGGAAAAAAUUUCAAAUAUUUUCUGUACAUAAUCUUAUUUGGUCAAACAUUUUUUUUAACAAUAAUCAGUUGAAAUUUUUCUAUUAUAGAUAGUAAACUUUACUACAGAAUUAUUUAAGGACCAUCCAUUUUAUGAAACGAGUCUAGCAAAGAUCAGACUUAGGCCUAAUCUAUGGAUCCAUGCUUCAUUUCUAGUUGACCGAUACUCUCUCAUUGGCUCAUUUAGCUGAAAAUAUUUGGUCACAUACAAAAAGAACAAAAAAAAAAUCUCCUUGAAUCUUUUUAAAGUUGAUGUAAAACUAUCUGCGAAACUGUAGCAAACGUACUUGGUUUUACAAAAAAUGUUAUAGUUAGAAUCUUAUUCAUACAAAUAAAGGUUUCAUUUAUGAUUUAUUUACCUAUUUUAAUGUAUUCAAGUAUUGGUGUGAGCAUCUCCAAAGGUGAACCCAUAUUAAGGGUAGACAUUUUCAAUUAAAAUUUAUGAUUUAACUAUAAUUUGUGAAUCUCUUAGGGUUUUUUUAUUUUUUUACCUUUUCCAAUGGUGACAACCUCCCUUUGGAGAUAGUCUUGCUGUUAAUAGUAACAUUAUCAGCUCCAAUGAAGGAAAUUGGAAGGAACAACAACAUCAGUUUCUUGUACGAAGAGGUCUUCAGAAUUCCGUACAACGGCGUGGACCAAACAAAGCAAGACGCUUGCAACGAUGCCAAGAACCAGACCCUGGAGGCAGUUUGCGAACCACAACGCCCAAAGCGAGCCAAGGAUCAACCCGAGGGCGAUCACGCGGUCGUUAAUAUGUCGACCGCACAAGACCAAUGGAUGGUCUCGAUAGAAAUACAGAAGCAGCCACAUGACUGCAGAUGAGGCAACGGUGAGAAGAGAAGUUGGAUCAACGAUCAAGAAGAGUGUAACAAAAGCUGCUGCUAAAAGAAAGUAAUUAACGGCGAAAUGACGGAGGUUGAGUUUAACGCGCGAAGUAGCGGUGGAGAAAGUGGCUGGAUGGUCGAUGGAACCUAAUGCUAGGAAUUCAGACCACCAUGGACGGUAGCUAGAAACACUAGCUAUUAUAUUAUGCAUCGACAUGGCGAUGACAUCACCGGCAGAGAGACUUGUCUCCUCGGCCGUAAUUGGAAGAGUCUCCACCGGUGCUAACAUUGCCUCGCCGGAGAGGACACAAGAGUCAGGACUCCAAUUUUGAGUUCUCUAGUCAACCAAUUUAACCGAAAUUUAAAACAAAAAAAAAGUGCUUCCCACGUUGGCAACGUUAUGGACUGGGCCAGUCAAAUUUAAGGGGCAAGUGGGAACGUUAUGGAUUGGGCCAGUUUAAAUUAAGGGCCCAUAUAAUUCGGGUCGGAUCCUAUCCAAAAGUGUGUGUGAUUCGUUUGGGUUUGGGCGAUUAUCUUCUCAUUUCUCAGACAAGGAGCAGAGAGGCAACAAGACGACUGAGUGGAACUUGAUCGAUUCAGGUUCGUUUAGUUUACCAUUCUACCCUCUUGAACUCGUCUCCCUCGUCAAGGUAAUCGUCGAUUUCAGAUGGGAUUUGUGGAAACGUAGAUUCAAAUUUGCUUUAAUUGCCGAAAUAUAUACUACAGUUUGAUGGGUUUUAGCGAUUUUGGGAAUCCGAGGCUCGCGGUGGUGAGAUUUGCGUCUUUGAAUUUAGGUUUCUCGAGUCUGCUUAGUUCCUUCAAGUGGCAGAGAUGAUGAAGAGAAAUCAAUUUUGUAUUAAACUCAAAUAUGAUGAACUCUGUAAUUCAUUCCGGCACAGGUGCUGUAGUCCGUAAAGCUUCUCGCUUUCUCUUUACAUCGAGGAAAUUUUGCAAUGGUAGCAUCGGUGGUGAUGUAACCAAUAAUGGCAUAGAAGAGCCCAUGAAGGUCACCUGGGAAUCUUCUGAAAUGGAUUGUGGGUUUGACAAGGAGGAACAUGAUGAGAAAAUCUCUGUUAGGAGAAGGUUUUUGGACAGUGCUAAGCUCGGUGCGUCUCGGGUUCUCGAUACGUUACAGCAAGAUUGUCCCGGAUUCAAUACGAAAUCAGCUUUAGAUGAGUUGGAUGUUACAAUCUCAGGGCUUUUGGUGAGAGAGGUUCUUGUUGGGAUCUUAAGGACUCUGAGCUAUGAUAAUAAGACCAGGUGUGCUAAGCUAGCUUACAAGUUCUUUGUGUGGUGUGGUGCACAAGAGAGUUUCAGGCAUACGGCCAAUUGUUAUCACUUACUUAUGAAGAUAUUUGCAGAGUGUGGUGAGUAUAGAGCAAUGUGCAGGCUGAUUGAUGAGAUGAUCAAAGACGGUUAUCCAACAACAGCACGCACAUUUAAUCUGUUGAUAUGUACUUGCGGUGAAGCAGGCCUUGCUAGAGAUGUCGUGGAGCAGUUCAUCAAGUCCAAAACUUUCAAUUACCGACCUUUCAAACACUCCUAUAACGCUAUUUUGCAUUCUUUGCUAGGUGUGAAACAGUACAAGCUGAUUGAUUGGGUUUACGAGCAGAUGUUAGAAGACGGGUUUUCACCAGAUGUUCUGACUUACAACAUUGUAAUGUUUGCAAACUUUAGGUUAGGGAAAACAGAUCGGCUUUAUAGAUUGCUUGAUGAAAUGGUUAAAGACGGGUUUUCUCCUGAUUUGUAUACAUACAACAUCCUCCUCCACCAUCUGGCAACAGGAAACAAGCCUCUCGCCGCUCUUAACUUACUAAAUCAUAUGAGGGAAGUUGGAGUAGAACCCGGUGUGAUCCAUUUCACUACUCUCGUAGACGGGCUUAGCCGAGCUGGGAAGUUAGAAGCUUGCCAAUACUUUAUGGACGAAAUGGUGAAAGUUGGAUGCACGCCGGAUGUUGUUUGCUACACUGUUAUGAUUACAGGAUAUAUUUCAGGCGGGGAGCUCGAGAAAGCUGAGGAGAUGUUCAAAGAGAUGACGGAAAAGGGACAGCUCCCAAAUGUUUUCACAUACAAUUCCCUGAUCCGGGGGUUUUGUAUGGCGGGAAAGUUCAAAGAGGCGUGCUCGUUGCUCAAGGAAAUGGAGUCGAGAGGGUGUAACCCUAAUUUUGUGGUGUAUAGUACACUGGUGAACAAUCUUAGAAAUGCCGGGAAGCUUUUAGAGGCUCACGAGGUAGUUAAGGACAUGGUGGAGAAAGGGCAUUAUGCUCAUUUACUUUCAAAGCUGAAAAAAUAUAGAAGAUCCUAGUUUUUGGUUUUUGUUUCAAAGGCAAUUUUGUGAUAUUGAUUAAACAAAACAAAGUGUAGCUGUUCUCAGUUCUGACGUUCAUUAGGCUUGCCCAGAUAUGUUUCAGCACAGAGAUUAUCUUCCAAAACUAUUAAAUAAAUUUCUAAAGGUNNNNNNNNNNNNNNNNNNNNNNNNNNNNNNNNNNNNNNNNNNNNNNNNNNNNNNNNNNNNNNNNNNNNNNNNNNNNNNNNNNNNNNNNNNNNNNNNNNNNNNNNNNNNNNNNNNNNNNNNNNNNNNNNNNNNNNNNNNNNNNNNNNNNNNNNNNNNNNNNNNNNNNNNNNNNNNNNNNNNNNNNNNNNNNNNNNNNNNNNNNNNNNNNNNNNNNNNNNNNNNNNNNNNNNNNNNNNNNNNNNNNNNNNNNNNNNNNNNNNNNNNNNNNNNNNNNNNNNNNNNNNNNNNNNNNNNNNNNNNNNNNNNNNNNNNNNNNNNNNNNNNNNNNNNNNNNNNNNNNNNNNNNNNNNNNNNNNNNNNNNNNNNNNNNNNNNNNNNNNNNNNNNNNNNNNNNNNNNNNCAAUAUAGGCCCAUAAAUUCUGGCUUGAAUCUUCUAGUUGACAGUGAAGGUUCUCUUUACGACUCCUGCCGCGUGUUUCGUUAUCGAGACGGUAAAAAGUCUCGGAAAUCUGAAUCCGAUCAAAUCUGAACAACACCGGCGACGAAUCUCUGAGCCGUAGAUUUAUAUUUCUUCCCGGAGAACGUACCAUCGUGAAUUGUGAUAGCGAGGAGAUGAUGUAUUGCUAACGGCCUAUUGAAAUCAGAUAUGUCAUCGGGAGGAGCCGGAGAGUAUAACGAAGACAGGCAUCUGUUGCGAUCCACCGGCGAUGAAGACAGCAUUGGUAGAGAGGAUGGUGAUAUCGAUGUUGAAUCUCAGUCUCCGGCUGUCAGAAGUGGAGCGGGAGGAGUUAGGGAUCUGUUUAAGCAUCUGGAUCGGAGAUUUUCACUCUCCGGGCGUCGUUUAAGCUUCAAACGGAUGGAGAAUAACAGAGUCGAUAGAGAGCGCCACAACCCGUCUUCUUCUUCCUCCGCGUUUUCGGCUGCAGAAGAAGAUGGUGGUGGCAUCAGUAAUUUACAUAACGUGGAUGAUCGAAUUGACGAGUACGGAUUUGAUGAAGAAGUGCUCGGAGAUAGUGCUCCACCUGAGUGGGCUUUGCUUCUCAUCGGCUGUCUUAUCGGUGUUGCCGCUGGAAUUUGUGUCGCUGGCUUCAACAAAGGGGUACGGUCAUAGAUCAGAUCUCGAUCUAUGUUGAUUCGAUUGAACACCUUGAUCCUGCUAGCUUUAAUUUACGUUAUACUAUUUUGACUGCUGAUUCAUUAGAGUAGUGCUAUUGUCUAGGUUCAUGUUAUUCAUGAGUGGGCAUGGGCUGGUACUCCCAACGAAGGUGCUGCAUGGCUCCGUCUACAGAGACUAGCUGACACUUGGCACCGGAUUCUUCUAAUUCCGGUCACUGGGGGUGUUAUAGUUGGGAUGAUGCACGGUUUGCUCGAGAUCUUAGACCAAAUCAGGCAAUCCACUUCUUCUCAGCGACAAGGACUAGAUUUUCUUGCUGGUAUUUAUCCCGUGAUAAAGGCCAUCCAAGCUGCUGUGACCCUUGGUACAGGAUGUUCACUGGGUCCUGAGGGACCUAGCGUCGACAUUGGAAAGUCUUGUGCCAAUGGUUUUGCUCUCAUGAUGGAAAACAACAGAGAAAGGAGAAUAGCUCUCACUGCAGCUGGUGCGGCUUCUGGGAUUGCAUCUGGUAUAAUCUACGCCCUACCUUUUUUAAAACAGCUUAUGCACCUUCUGAAUUGAUAUUGAUGUAAUAGGGAUUGCCGAGGCAUGGAACAGCAACAUAGUUCCUUCCUUCACUCAAGUAUAUUAGCACUAGUUAAUUUCGUUAAUAAAUGUCUAUACUAGGUUCCUUGUAUCAUUUUGGCUUAUUGCAAUCUUUAUGGCCCCUCAUUUUUUCGCUCACUUUUCUGGUCCCAUAAUAGGUAUGUACUAUAUAGCCUACAAAUGUGCCAAUUGAUCUUAGGUUCUACUACUAGAAAAAACAUCUUGCUGGGAGUAAUUACUGAAUACUAGUAUAUUUAUGGCUAUUUAAAGUAUGAUUCAUGGGCACUGGUUUUUCUAGCUAAAGAUAAGAGCACUAAGAGAGGCUCUUUGUUUCCUUGUUUUCCCCAGGUAGGGACUCAAUUCGCUUGUUUGUCGUCAAAAAUCUGAUUUAAUUCUAUCUUUAUUCGUGUUACAGGUUUCAAUGCAGCAGUGGCAGGUUGUUUCUUUGCUAUUGAGACCGUUUUAAGACCUCUACGUGCCGAGAACUCGCCUCCAUUUACCACUGCAAUGAUAAUAUUGGCCUCUGUUAUAUCUUCGACUGUGUCAAAUGCACUGCUUGGAACUCAAUCAGCUUUCACAGUUCCCUCAUACGACCUGAAGUCCGCUGCAGGUAUGUUUUUUCAUUGUUAAUCCGUAUUGCAAACCUUCCAGUUAGUAUUAUGGUAUUAUUUUUGUGUAAGAUUCUGAUUUAGUGUCCUGAUGGUUAUGGUAUAAUGUGAUAUAUCAUAAAGAAUCGUGGUAAUUUUAAAAUAAUGAAGGUCAAUAUUUAUUUGCUUCAUCGAGUAUUUGUGUAUAGAUUUACAUAUCUGUUUUCAAUUGUCUCCAGAGCUCCCUCUGUACCUGAUAUUAGGCAUGCUUUGCGGUGCUGUCAGCGUUGUUUUUUCUCGUCUCGUCACCUGGUUUACCAAGUCAUUCGACUUCAUCAAAGAAAAAUUUGGUCUUCCUGCUAUUGUGUGCCCUGCACUAGGUGGUUUAGGAGCUGGAAUUAUUGCUCUCAAGUACCCUGGAAUUUUGUAUUGGGGGUUUACAAAUGUUGAGGAAAUCCUGCAUACUGGAAAGAGUGCUUCAGCUCCUGGAAUUUGGUUAUUAGCUCAGUUAGCCGCAGCCAAAGUUGUGGCUACAGCUCUUUGCAAAGGCUCUGGGCUUGUAGGUGGUCUAUAUGCACCAAGUUUGAUGAUUGGUGCUGCUGUUGGUGCUGUGUUUGGGGGUUCGGCUGCUGAGAUUAUUAACAGAGCUAUUCCUGGUAAUGCUGCUGUUGCUCAACCACAAGCUUACGCUCUGGUAUUGUAUUUCCUUUGUCGCAGGCCUUGCUUCAGUGCAGUUUUAAAAAUAAUUUCAUUACUCUUCAAUUUUGGAUGUCAUGAAAUCUCACUCGUUAAGAUGCUGUCGUUUUAUGUGAUGCAGGUUGGAAUGGCAGCUACACUAGCUUCCAUGUGUUCUGUUCCGUUAACAUCUGUGUUACUGCUGUUCGAGCUAACAAAAGAUUAUAGAAUUUUGCUUCCCCUCAUGGUAAAUAUUAUCUUUCCCGCUUAGUUUCAAUGGUGCAUGUCGUGUAAAUUUGCUUAAGAGGGGUGGGAUUCAUAAAGAUAGUUCUGAUUUUUCUCGUUUAACUAAUCAAGCAGUAAAACCGUGGUAAAACUAUGAAAUGUACCACUUAAGAUGUCACCUGCAUUCUGGUUCAUAUUUUGAUCAAGUUGUUCUUGAUCUGAUCUCUCUGUCGAUUUCUACUAACAGGGAGCAGUUGGUUUAGCUAUAUGGGUUCCUUCUGUCGCAAACCAAGGCAAAGAGAGUGAGUCAUCUGAAGGUCGCAACACUGGAAGAGGAUACUCUUCUGUUUCACCUUUAGAGCGUAAAACGGAAGGUGUAUGGAGACACACGGAUAAUGUUGACUCCCUUGAGCUCACCGUCAUAGAGAGCCCUGACCAUAAAUCCUUUUUGGAUGAGGAAACUAUUCUGGAGGAUUUAAAGGUUUUGCGGGUUAUGUCAAAGAACUACGUGAAGGUUUCUCCAGGAAUGACUUUAAGGGAAGCAAGAAAUAUCCUUAAAGACAGCCACCAAAACUGCCUUAUGGUGGUCGAUGAAGAUGAUUUUCUAGCCGGGAUCCUAACACACGGCGACAUCAGAAGAUACUUGUCCAACAACGUCUCAACAAUCUUAGAUGUAAGAAGUGAAACAAAACAAACCCCCUCAGUCUCGUACUCAUAACUCUGCUCUUUAAAUUACAGUGGACUUGAAAAUAAGUCUAUGUCUCUUGGCAGGAGAAUACAUGCCAGGUUUCUUCAGUGUGUACUAAGAAUAUAAUCUACCGAGGCCAAGAACGCGGUCUGCUUACUUGUUAUCCAGACGCGACGGUUGGAGUAGCCAAAGAGUUGAUGGAGGCAAGAGGAGUGAAGCAAUUACCUGUAGUAAAACGAGGUGAAGUAAUUCACAAAGGGAAAAGAAGGAAACUGCUUGGCCUUCUUCACUAUGACUCUAUUUGGACUUUUCUCAGGUAACAGAAGAAAGAAAAAAAAAAUCUGUUUUUACUCAAAAGUUAACCAAAGCCAAAGUUGUUAACCUUUGGUUGGUUGUUUUUUCACGCAGAGAUGAAAUGAGUCGGAGGAGAUCGAUCAACGACCGGAGAAAAGACAAAGAGGUUGGUGCAAAUGGGCAUUGAUUGGGUUUGUGCCCAUUUUGGUAUAGCUUUUUCUUUUCUUAAUUUUUGAGGUCCAAUUGAUUAUUAUAACGAGGAAAACAUGAUCGUAAAAAUAAUAUUAAUAGUAAUACACCUCUUUCUUAGUUUUGAAAAUCAUUCGUCUCACACCAACGUAAAACACACUACUCAUAUCAUAUGGAUUAAUCCAUCAGAAGAAAUCAAAUCAGUAAAUCUCUAAAAUUCUGGUUACUACUAUCGCAAUUGUUCACGUUACAUUAAUUUAAUGAUACGCUAGCUCAUGUUUGAAAUUUGUUUUUACUAAAUAAAUUUACUUAUCAUUUGCAUGAAUGUGAUGUACAACUGUUAGAUUAUAAGUUGGGAUUUAAAAUGUUACUAAUCUUGAUGAGUAAAUCAUAAACAGAAGAACAAGAUCCACAAAGAUAGCGUAAUGACUGAUAAUGGACCCUAUGAUUUUGCACUGAAAAGAGCUUUUCUUUUUUUGGCAGUUACAUUGUUAAGAAAACAAAAAAAAAGAUAAAAGGAGAAAAUUUUGUAAACAGUUGACUAAAUUGAUUGGAAUGUGAUUGGAUUUUGUUGGUCAUGUAUUGGUUUAAGUGGGUGCGACGAAAUUUUUUAAAAAAUUGCUAAGCUUUUUCUUCAUGAUUAGGUCGGUCCUUAAUGUCAAACAAAAUGUAUAAACAUAAUCAUUUUUCCAUAUGUGAUCUAAUUAAAAACAGCUAUAACAAAACUAGCUAGAAAAAAAAACAAUUUUAAUAUUCAAAUGUUUGAUCUCCCGAUUAAUAUGUAAACUUUUUAUUUUGAAGAGAUCAUAUAACUAAAUAGACAUGCAUGAAGAGAUCAAUUUCCUUUACCUGAUGUUAAUAAUGAUAUGUUGGAGACCAUUCAAAUGUCUUUUUCCGCCUUUUUUUAUAUUUCUUCUUUCACAAGUCAUCAUAUACUAAUUAAAAAGAAAAAUACAUAAAUAUAUACACAUACAAAAAAGGUGAUUGUAAUUUAGACAAAUAAGACGAAUAAUAAUAAUAUUGGAUUGAUUAGGAUAAGCGUCAUCAUUAGAAAAAUAGUCGUUUUCAUGGAGUCAUCAUCCACCUUUCAUUACACACACACACAUAACUAAUUACACAGUAUUUUCAUCUGUUUCUUAUAAAUUGAUGUUUUGAAAAGAAAAAUUAAAAAACCUAAAAUGGUAUUUUACUUUUUUCACAUAUUAUCAUGUUAUCGAAUGAUUUAUAUUUUCUCUUCCACGAACAAAUAAUUAUAAAUUAAUAAAAACUUAAAUUUGUUCUUAAGAAGUCUGACGUGUUUUACUAGAUAUAAGAAAUUAGGAGAGUGCAAUUUUUUCUUCUUUCAAAAAACACUAUACAGUAUACACUUAAUAUUGUAGUCCUUGAAUAAUUGAAUAAUCACACACUAAUAGGUACAUAAAUAUAGAAAAUGAGUGGGCACGUUGGGAGAAAAGAAUCUUUUAGAGUAGAAAGAAAAAAGAGGUCACAAAAAUAAAAUAUGCGCUCGUGCGGAUGAGAGAGAGAAGAAUACUGACAAAUAUAUUGGUACACGGCCCAACUCUACGGCCCACGCGCGACGAAACAUGUUUCCGGCUUUUAAUAAAAGAACCCCUUCUUAUUUUAUUUCUCUUAUUAUCUACCCUUUUAUUAUUAAUUUCAUUUCCUAGGUCCCCUUUUGUCUUUUUCCUCACUCAAUCUUGUCAUUUACAUUGGGAUAUCACACAAGCUAUAUCAUUUUCAUAUCACACUCUAGUAUUUAUUUUCUUUCUCUCUCUGUUUUCUAUGUGUAUAAACUAUGUUCUUUAACAUUUCAAGAAGUUUGUUUGUUUGUUUUAUUCGGUAAUCUAUACUCUAUAGUUUAUUUUACCUAUAAAUAUCAUGGAGUAUUGUAUUUUCUUAUGUAUGUAUUUUAAAAGUUGUAUUCAUCAAAUUAAACUUUUUUGGCAUUUAGAAUAAAAAUUUGGGCAAGUGUUUUAUUUUCAUAUAUAACAUAGACCUUGAAUUAGGUCUGGCAAACACUUAUUAAACUUGUUCUAUCUAGUUGAGUACUCAAAUAUCUAAUGUAGAUACAUGGGGUUAGGUAAAGACAUUGGAUAAAAGGCUAAAGUGGCAAAAAAGUGAACCGGCAACUACAUAAACAAAUGCAAAAAUCAGGGACACAAAACUAAUAAACAAAAAAGAAACUAGGACCAAAGGACAAUUAAGAAAAACAUUUGAAGCAUUCUUUAAAUAAGCUAGUGCUUUGUGCCGUGUAGGGUUAGAAAGUUGCACAAAUGCGUAGAAACAUACACAUACGAGAGAACUAAGGAGAAAAGGUAGAGCUUUAUCGUUAUUAUCGUCAAAACUUAAAUCAUAUUUUUAUAGUAUUAGGUUGGAACUUAGGAGGAGGGGUUACUAUUUUUACAUGGGAACGAGAGAGACCUACAUAAGGCUAUACGUGCCGUUUAAUUCAUCUAAACCCCCAAAAAAUGUUAGAUAAAGGCAGAGAUAAUUGUUUAUUUCGAACGUUAAUGAAUCGAAUCCAAGUGUUUGGAAAGUCCAAUUUGAGAUUUAUCACCAACGGGCAAAAGAGAACUAUUGGUUGUACCAUAUUUACAGAUAACUAAUAAGAGUGAUUUAUCCCUAAGUAUCUCACAUUUUUGUCUGGUAUAAACUAAUUUAGUUUGAUUUGAUGACAACUCAUUAUUAGUAGAAUAUGUGUACACUGAGAGGGUCUAACUUUUGAGUGAGUGAACAUAUAUAUAUAUAUAUAUUUUGUAAAUUAGAAUUAAUACAAGAUUGAUAAUUAGAAAGAGAUUAUAAAGAGGAAAUUAAUCUUUAGUAUCAUGAUUAUGUUUUCUCUUCUUUUCUGUAGGAUUUCUAAUUUAUAUAUAUAUCUUCAUUUAUCUACUUUUCCUUUUUUCUUGCCUUUUUUAAUUAAUUUUUUGGUUCUCUAUUGCUUUUGCAAAUUACCCCACCAAAGAGAAAAUUAUAAAAUAAAUAAAAGAAAUAGUAAUUCGCUUUACAAAUUGGACCUUUGAUAUUUUUUUCUUUCCAAACAGAGAGACUAUUAAGAAACCAUAAUUAACGCCUCAAUUACGCAAAGAUUAAAGGAAGAUCUUUUUUCUUUUCUUCCGGGGAAAAAACCACCUUUGUUUUGUUUUUUUUUGUCUUCCCUCAUAAUAUCUUUUUUUUUCUGGGUGAUGUUCGUGCACUUCUCUCUGUGUACUGCUACGGAAUCUUAAACCAUCUGGUUUUGGAAAGACAAGAAAAAAUCUGAACUUUGUUGUUGUUUUUUUUUAUAUAUAAUUCCGACCAGUUCUGCAACAUCGUACUUGAGCAGAAACCGUAUCUAAAAAUACGAUCUAUGCUGUCUUCUUCAUCAGCGGAACUCUGUCUCUGUCUUCUUCAGUCAAACUUGGUCAUCUUCUUCUUGAACAAGGUUCCAUAUUUAGCUAGAUUUUUUCAUUGAAAAAGAUUGUUUCUUUUUGUUACUAUUCUCAAAGCUUAUUCUUUUUUUUUUGCAGAGGAGCUGAGCACAGUGGAGAUUUAAUCGAACACUUGGUGUGCCGAUGAAGCAAAAAUGGAUGUUUGUGUUGAUCCUCUGUUUCUUUACGGCGUUGGGCAUUCAUGGAAAAAGACUAAUCAACUCCGACUUCGACGAAACUGCUCUUCUAAUGGCUUUCAAGCAAUUCUCUGUGAAAUCUGAUCCCAAUAACGUUCUUGGUAACUGGAUAUACGAGUCGGGUCGUGGUUCAUGUUCUUGGCGAGGCGUUUCCUGCUCUGACGACGGUCGAAUCGUCGGACUAGAUCUCCGAAACGGUGGAGUCACCGGAACACUAAACCUAGCUAACCUCACGGCGUUGCCUAAUCUCCAGAAUCUUUACCUACAAGGAAACUAUUUCUCCUCUUCCUCUGGAGGAGAUUCAUCGUCUGGUUCUUAUUGUUAUCUUCAAGUUCUGGAUUUGUCUUCGAACUUGAUCUCAGACUACUCAUUGGUGGAUUACGUUUUCUCAAAAUGUUCGAAUCUGGUUUCUGUGAAUUUCUCAAACAACAAGCUCGUCGGGAAAUUAGGUUUUUCUCCGUCGUCGUUGAAGAGCUUGACGACUGUUGAUUUCUCUUACAAUAUCUUAUCGGAGAAGAUCCCUGAGAGUUUUAUCUCAGAGUUCCCGGCGUCGUUGAAGUAUCUUGAUCUCACUCAUAACAAUUUCUCCGGCGAUUUCUCCGAUUUAAGUUUCGGGAUAUGUGGGAAUCUCAGCUUCUUCAGUCUAUCACAGAACAAUAUCUCCGGCGUUAAAUUCCCGAUUUCUCUACCGAACUGCAGAUUCCUCGAGACGUUGAACAUCUCUCGGAACAAUCUCGCCGGAAAAAUCCCCGGCGGAGAAUAUUGGGGAAGUUUCCAGAAUCUAAAACAGCUCUCUCUAGCUCACAACCGUUUCUCCGGCGAAAUCCCACCGGAGCUUUCUCUACUCUGCAAAACAUUAGAGACUCUUGAUCUCUCUGGAAACGCUCUCUCCGGCGAGCUCCCUUCACAGUUCACCGCCUGCGUCUGGUUACAGAACCUUAAUAUCGGAAACAACUACCUCUCCGGCGAUUUCUUAAGCACCGUCGUGAGUAAAAUCACCGGAAUCACUUAUCUAUACGUUGCUUUCAACAACAUCUCAGGCUCUGUUCCGAUUUCACUCACCAACUGUACAAACCUUCGUGUUCUUGAUUUAAGCUCAAAUGGUUUCACCGGAAAUGUACCUUCUGGUUUAUGCUCUCUGCAAAGCUCGCCGGUUCUUGAAAAGCUUCUCAUAGCCAACAAUUACCUCUCAGGAACAGUUCCUGUGGAGCUUGGUAAAUGUAAGAGCUUGAAGACAAUUGAUCUCAGCUUCAAUGAGCUUACUGGUCCGAUUCCAAAAGAGGUAUGGAUGUUGCCGAGUCUGUCGGAUUUAGUUAUGUGGGCGAACAAUCUCACUGGAAGUAUCCCAGAAGGUGUUUGUGUUAAAGGUGGGAACUUAGAAACUAUCAUCCUCAACAACAAUCUCUUAACCGGUUCUAUCCCUCAGUCGAUCUCAAGAUGCACCAACAUGAUCUGGAUCUCUCUUUCAAGUAACCGUCUGACCGGGAAAAUCCCUAGUGGAAUCGGUAAUCUUUCCAAGUUAGCAAUCCUGCAGCUGGGGAACAAUUCUUUGUCCGGAAUCGUUCCACGCCAGCUCGGGAACUGCAAGAGCUUGAUUUGGCUCGAUCUGAACAGCAACAAUCUAACCGGGGACCUCCCUGGUGAGCUAGCUAGCCAAGCGGGGUUAGUAAUGCCCGGGAGUGUUUCAGGUAAACAAUUUGCGUUUGUGAGGAACGAAGGCGGAACAGACUGCAGAGGUGCAGGGGGGCUAGUAGAAUUUGAAGGCAUUCGCGCAGAGCGAUUAGAGCGGUUACCAAUGGUUCAUUCAUGUCCUGCGACACGGAUAUACUCAGGCAUGACAAUGUACACAUUUUCUGCAAAUGGAAGCAUGAUCUACUUCGACAUCUCGUACAAUGCGGUUUCGGGUUUAAUACCUCCUGGUUAUGGUAACAUGGGCUAUCUCCAGGUCUUGAAUCUGGGACAUAACCGGAUAACUGGAAACAUCCCUGACAGUCUUGGAGGACUGAAAGCCAUUGGUGUUCUCGAUCUAUCUCACAACGAUCUUCAAGGCUACUUACCCGGAUCGCUGGGAUCGCUCUCUUUCCUCAGUGAUCUCGAUGUCUCUAACAACAACCUCACUGGUCCAAUCCCAUUUGGAGGUCAGCUUACAACAUUCCCUGUCUCAAGAUACGCAAACAACUCUGGCCUAUGUGGUGUCCCUUUGCGCCCGUGCGGUUCAGCUCCUAGGCGGCCCAUUACCUCCAGUGUCCAUGCCAAGAAGCAAACUCUUGCAACCGCUGUGAUUGCUGGAAUCGCAUUUUCUUUCAUGUGCCUUGUGAUGCUAUUUAUGGCGCUUUACAGGGUGAGGAAAGUUCAGAAGAAGGAACUGAAGAGGGAGAAAUACAUUGAGAGCCUUCCAACUUCGGGAAGUUGCAGCUGGAAGCUCUCUAGCGUUCCUGAACCGCUUAGCAUCAACGUUGCUACGUUCGAAAAACCCUUGAGAAAACUCACGUUCGCGCAUCUUCUUGAAGCUACAAAUGGGUUUAGCGCAGAGACUAUGGUUGGAUCCGGUGGGUUUGGAGAAGUCUACAAGGCUCAACUCAGAGACGGAUCUGUUGUAGCAAUCAAGAAGUUGAUUCGGAUCACGGGACAAGGCGAUAGAGAGUUCAUGGCUGAGAUGGAGACAAUUGGAAAAAUCAAGCACAGAAACCUUGUUCCGCUUUUGGGAUAUUGCAAAGUUGGUGAAGAGAGGCUUCUUGUUUAUGAAUACAUGAAAUGGGGAAGCUUAGAAACCGUUCUUCACGAGAAAUCAUCUAAGAAAGGUGGAAUAUUUCUAAAUUGGACUGCAAGGAAGAAGAUUGCGAUUGGAGCUGCCAGAGGGCUAGCGUUUCUGCACCAUAGCUGCAUUCCUCACAUAAUCCACAGAGACAUGAAAUCGAGCAAUGUUCUUCUAGAUGAAGAUUUCGAAGCACGUGUCUCGGAUUUCGGAAUGGCGAGGCUGGUCAGCGCUCUAGACACGCAUCUGAGCGUGAGCACGCUCGCGGGUACACCAGGAUACGUUCCACCAGAAUAUUACCAGAGUUUCCGGUGUACAGCUAAAGGGGAUGUUUACAGCUACGGAGUUAUACUUCUUGAGCUUCUCUCUGGUAAGAAACCCAUUGAUCCAGGGGAGUUUGGAGAAGACAAUAACCUGGUCGGGUGGGCAAAACAGCUAUAUAGAGAGAAAAGAGGAACUGAGAUUCUUGACCCGGAGCUUGUAACCGAAAAAUCUGGUGAUGCUGAGCUAUUUCAUUACUUGAAGAUCGCGUCUCAAUGCUUGGAUGAUCGACCGUUUAAGCGGCCAACAAUGAUUCAAGUGAUGGCAAUGUUCAAAGAGCUUAAGGCUGACACAGAAGAAGACGAAAGUCUCGAUGAGUUUUCGCUCAAGGAAACUCCGUUGGUAGAAGAGUCCCGAGAUAAGGAGCCUUAAAAGAGGACUGAGAAUGCUUAAUUUGUUACUUGUUCCAAAUUUUCGAUGUCCAGUCCAGUGUAUAUAACCGAGGAAGCUUGAGAAAGACGGUAUGAAUCAUUGGGAAGAUGAAGUAGACACUGAAGAGUUAUUGUAGCUGUUGAUUUGGCUUGGAGGGUUUUGUCUUUGGUUAACUUGUCAAACACGGUCAGAUAAAUUCCCUCGUUGUAUACUGCAGUUGUAAGUUUGUAUUUUCAGAAUAUUUUGUUAGAGUUUAGCUCAUUUAUAAGAAUUUUUUUCAUAUCUUAUUUCGUUUUCCGUUUCACACUAGCUGGUAACUAAUACCAGAAAAUGAGUCUCAGCUUUUACAUUUAUCUUGUUAUAGUCAGUCAUGCAGGCAUCGUGGUCGAUUUAAGUCAUCAAAUCUGGACUUCCAUAGUUGUAUAUCUCGUACCCAGUUGUAAAUCGCAAAGUUCAAAACUUUUACCAUUGAUUGAGCAUCUUUUGCAUCUCUUGGCCAUCUCCUUCAAACGUUACUUUUCUAUAAUCAAUUAACCCAGCUUUGUUGCAUUGCAUUGGUUGAAAUUAUAAACCUUGACAUUCACUUUCAAGAACUGAUUGGACUUUGUGACCUUUUUUAUAAACUAAAAAAUGAUAAUACUAAACGGGCUGUUAUAGGCCGAGAUUAUAAGCCCGUUAUUGAGGAAGCCUCAUGCAUAAAAAUAAGUUGGUUUCAAGGAUACCUAAAUCGAUAUAUUCCUAAAUUGAUAUAUUCCUAAAUUGAUAUAUUCCUAAAUCCUUACUUAUCUACUGGAUGGGAAAUGCAUGGUAGGACUAUAUAUAGAAAAAUAUAUUUCUUUUAAUAUGCAUGCAAUUCCCAUAUUCCUUAGUCAACGCUUGGGGUUUUCUUUAUGUUACUUCCAUAUUUGUUGUAUUACCCUCUAAAGAUUCAAGUGUUUAGAAACCGAAUCUAAUUGUUUUGGUUUACAAUAUAAUGCCAUACUAAAUUCAUGUAAAGAUCUUAUUAUCCUAUACAAUUUUAGUAUUUCUUUUAAUAUUCUACAUAAAAAUUGACCAGAGUAAUAGAGUUUGGAUGGAUUUAAAUCACUAUCCUUAUAAUAUAAGUAAAUGAUAAUUAUUUUGCACAACAAAAAAGUAAAUGAUAAUUAAUUUGUUGACUAAAAACAUCAAUCUUUAUAAUUUAGAUUUUUGUUAAUUCUAAUUUACUAAAUAUAAAAUCACGGUAAUAUUCAGUCCAGUUUAGAUUCAUUAUUAUAUUACCAACAUUACAUAAAUAAUGUUCCGUAUACUAUAAAUAAAAUCACAUUAAUAUUUAAUCUACUUUACAUCAAUUACUAACAACAUUACAUUAAUGAUGUUAUGGAUGCAAACAUAUGUUUAUGUUAAUUUUUAAAAAUACAAGAUCACGGUGAUAUUCAGUCGACUUUAACUCCGUUAUAUAAAAUAACAUUCAUUGAAUUUGUUGUAAUUCAAAUACAUCGAUAAUUUUUAGGAAACUUAAAAAUCGAUAAGUAAUAAUAAAAUGGUUAUUUUAAUAGGAUUUAAAUUGGCCAUCUACAUUAGAAAUUAGUGUUCUUACAAUUAAAUCUAGUAUUCUAUUAUAUUUAUAUAUAUAUUUAUAUAUAGCAUAUGAUAAUCUCAUCAUGCAUCUCUACAAAAAAAAAAACAAAAAAAAAAAGAGGAGAAAGAAGAAAAUUAAAAACACAUUAGGGAUUAUUGACACUUGGAUGACGAAAGUUUGACCAUUUAAAAGUGUUACCAUAAUAAAAAGGCAACGAAAUUUAGAAUAUAAGAACACCAUCAUCAUCAUCCUCCUAUAUGCACACACCCCAUUGUGUAUUCUUCUUCUUCUUCUUCUUCUUCUUCGUUUCCGGCUAGCUAGCUUUCUCUCAAGAACCAAAAAAAAAAAAAGGGUUUCUCCUUUUUACAUCUAAGAUUAAUUUCAUUAAUUUACAAAUCAUUUUCUAAUUCUAAAUCUCACAAAAUUUUCACUAAUAUUGUGUUUCUUGACAUCUUAGGGAUUUCUCCUUUUUAUAUCUAUCAUUAUUUCAUCAAUUUACAAACUAUUAUUGAUUCUGAAUCUCACAAAAUUUUCACUCUCACCAAUAUUGGGUUUCUUGACAUCUUUUAGGGAUUUCUUCAAAAAUGAGUGAUUUCGAUGGAAACUUCAACGAAUCGACGUCGUGUUGGGCACCACCUUUCAGCCCUAGCCCAAGAGCGAUAUUGGCGAUGAUUGAUCAAGCCGAAGACGAUGGUCUGGAUCUAAUCUCUGAGAUGUUCCCUCAUACCAACUUACCAAGAGACCAUAGUGCUCAGUCCUCUGAACAGAGAUCUGGUCUCGGCCAGAGAUUAGCUGCAAGAGUAGGGUUCAGUCCUCCACCACUCGACACAGAAAACAUAAGUCCUUCGGCUGCAUCUUUAAGGAGCUCGACGACUGUUCCUCCUCCUGUCUCUGCAAUCCCUCCGGGAUUUAUCCCAUCAACGCUAUUGCAAUCUCCCAAUAUGGUCACUGAUUCUUCACAGGUACGUAGCAAUGUCUUUCGUGUUUAAUCAUAUGGUUAUAAAUGAAUUUAUUUAUCAAAAAUAAAUAAGUUAAACGAAUCUGUCAUUGAACCAAAUAUUUCGACGUAUGUUAUAAUUCUUUUACGUCUAGCAUAGACUAAAAAAUGGUUUUAUAUACAUCUAUCGGUAAACACGAAAUCUAUUAUUUCCUUUUGUUUACGUUUUGAAAAUUUCCAUACCCCAUUUGCGUUUACCCCAACUUACGAAUGAAUGUUUGGUUCAUGAAUCUUGUUGUUUCGGACAGAUUUGUUUUGUUAUGAUUGACUGUAUUUUUCUCGGAUGGAUUUUGAUACCAGCUAUAUAUAUAUAUUUAAUUGCAUUUCAUAUAUUUCAUUUUAAUUUUCGUUUACAUUUACAUAAAGCUUUUGUUCAAACUAUAAUAUUCUUUUGUAACCUUCUUAUUUCCAGAUGAUCACAGCUCCGUCUUCAGACACCAAUUACGGACCUCAAGGUAUGGUGGAAACUUCCGGCGAAGGCAAUGCACCAACGUUGAUAUUCAACAACGAUCAUCCUUAUCAGCCGGUGAAUGCUGAUCUGCCUCUUCUUGAUGGUAACGGAGUUGCUUGUGUCACAAGUUUGCUUCCAUUUCUCUAUAAUUUCUCUAUCUUUUAAUUUUAUCAUAAUUUUUCUUACAGAAUGUGAGGCAGUCUUUGAUGAUGUUCCAACGGAAGAGUCCGUUUAUCUCCCAACUUAUGAAACUGAUCAUGUUGAGCCAAUUGGGGAUUCCUUAGUCCCUAAUUCCUUUGAACAUGAAUUCGUUGGAGAUGCCAAUGUCAACUUCAUCUCCAAUGAGGGCACUGAGAGCGUGAAGGACAGCGAGAGCGAGGAUGAUUUGGACUUCGACUUUGAAUUCGAAGAUGAAGAUGAAGAUGAAGCUGAAGCUGAAGAUAAUGAUGAAGAUAAAGCUGAAGAUGAAGAUGAAGAUAAUGAUGAAGAUGGAGAUGAAGAUGAAGAUGAUGAGGAAGAUGAAAAUGAUGAGGAAGAGGCUGAUCACGACGACGAAGCUGACUUUGAUGAUGCUGAACCUUCAUCUCCAAAGAGAAGGUCCAAACAAAAGCUAACGAUCAUAAUUAUCAACAAUAAUACUUAAAACAACAUAUAUCUUUUAUAAGCUAAACUAUAUAUAUAUAUCUUGCAGGAAGUUUGAGGCAUCAUCAAACAUGAUCGGAGCAACGAGAACAAACAAGGCACAAAGGGUCAUACUUCAGAUGGAAAGCGAUGAAGAUAAUCCUGAAGAUGGCUUUCGCUGGAGAAAAUACGGACAGAAAGUUGUCAAAGGAAAUCCUAAUCCGAGGUUGUUAUUUCCCCCCACCCACCCAUCUUCUUUAUUUCUCUCUUUUCUCUCUACUAGUCAUUUUGGUUUUGAUGUUCUGUCCGUAGCUGCUUUAAUAUAUAUGUAUGCUUCUUAAUUAAUACGUUUUUUGUGUGUGGUAUAUAUGUUAUGAAUCGCAGGAGUUACUUCAAAUGCACAAACAACGAUUGCAACGUGAAGAAACAUGUGGAGAGAGGAGCAGACAAUUGUAAGAUACUUGUGACAUCCUACGAUGGGAUACACAACCAUCCUCCCCCACCUGCACGCUGUAGAAUCAAUUCCGGUCCAAGGAAUCGGUCCGGUACAACAACGACGACUCAAAAUCAGAGCUAUCGAACCGACCGGUUAGGUAGGUUUCCUGCUCCUUCGUCUGUGAUCACACCUAUGGAGAUGAUGCCUUUAUCUUCCUUUACUCCACCACUUGAUAUGUCUAGGGUUUACAUGACCGGACUUAAUAAGCUGCCGAAUUUUUCAGUUUUCCAGAAUCCCGGUUACAUGUACCGGAAUGAUGAACCGAUGAUGAAUGUUGUACCGAAUGGUUCUGGGAUUUACGGUGGGAUCAGGCAUCGCCUAUUUGCUGAGUUUGGUGUUAACUUGAUGUAAUAAUUCGUUUUUUUCCUUUCUUCUUUCUUUCUUUUUCUUGUUCCUUAUCUCCAGUGAAAACCAAAAAUAAACAAAAAAAAUUGUAUUCAAUAUUCAUCAUCAUCAGCUUAAUAAUAAAUUACUUUUUACUUUUUUUGACUGAUUCAUUAUACUUUCUAACAGUUUUAGAUACGUUUAAUGUAGAAAAUGGACCUAAUCUUUUAAUCAAACCAUGAUUAGAAUCCAAACCGAAAUUCGAAUUGAACCGGUUUAUACCAGGUUGUCUAGUUUUAUUUAAACCGAUCGUAACUGACCCGGACAAGUCGGGUAAAAACUAAAAAGGAUAUGAGUGAUCCUUGCGUCCAAACAAUACCUUUCGUCUUUUUUGAUUUGUGUCAACGGCUCAGAAGAUUGAAGAGAAGAAUCGGCGAGAUUCUGGAAAAUUGAAAUUGAAAAGAGGAAGAGAGAGAACUCCUCCAUUCACAAUCAAACCAUGGAGGAAGUGACGAGAUCUGUGUUAGCGGAGGAGAUACUGAAGCGUUUAGAUCUGGAGAAUCUCUGUUCCGUCGCCUGUGUUUCCACCACCCUCCGCUCCGCCGUUGUCUCCGGCGUUCUCCCUUCUCUUACGUCUCUCGAUCUCUCUGUGAGUUUCAGAUUCUCUGAGAUUUUGGAGAUUUUCUCUGGAAAGAGAGUAAUUUUAUCGAAUUCUGUUUAGGUUUUCUCUCCGGACGAGGAGACUCUGAAUCACGUGCUGCGUGGUUGCAUCGGGCUUAGUAGCUUAACUCUGAAUUGUCUCCGCCUUGACGCUAAUUCUGUUCGUGGGGUUCUCGGCCCACAUCUCCGGGAACUUCACUUGCUCAGGUGUUCUCUUCUAUCCUCCACCGUCCUCACUUCCAUCGGUACCCUCUGCCCAAAUCUCCGGUACUAUUUCUUCUUCCCAUGAACUUUUUAAUAGAUACCUCAAUGAAUUCUCGUGCUUUUGGCCCAUGUUUGUUUCUGGAAAAGGGAGAAGAUUUACGAAAUGUCUCAUUUUUUCUGAAUUUAUCACUUCAUUGAUAGAAUUGAAUUAAAUUGAGUCCUCUGUCACUCCCCUUGAAGGCAAGCCUUUACAUAUCUGGGGUUAGCUAUGACUUUUGUCAAUCACUCUUUCUUGAUUAGAAGCAUUGAGUUUAGAGCUCUAGAGUUGAAGUUGUGAUUGUGACUUUGUGAGUACUUAAGAGUUUUUUUUGGUUCAAUUAUUUAUUACAGGGUUCUUACCCUGGAAAUGUCAGACCUGGAUUCUCCCGCUGUUUUCCAGUCUAACUUGACGCAGAUGCUUAACGGGUGUCCUUAUCUGGAGGUAAUUUGUUAAAAGCUUGCUGAGGCAUUGGUCAGAAGAAGCGAGAAAGUGUGAAAUUGAAUUUGGGUUUUAUAUUCUUGUGAUGCUUGCAGUCUCUGCAACUUAACAUCCGAGGUAUCCUAGUAGAUGCCACAGCUUUCCAGUCUGUUAGAUUCUCCUUGCCAGAAACUCUCAAAGCUCUCAGGUUACAGCCACUGCUUGAGUCCGAAGCAAUUCUUCUCAUGAACAGAUUCAAAGUCACUGGAACUUGUUUAUCUCAGGCUGAUUAUAGUGCCUUGCUUUCUCCUUCACCUUCUUUUACUUUGCAAAGCCUGUCUCUUGUGCUGGACUUGAUAUCUGACAGGCUAAUCAUAGCUAUCACAGGUUCUCUUCCUCAACUUGUCCAACUGGACCUUGAAGACCGUCCUGAAAAAGAGCCAUUUCCCGACAGUGACCUGACUUACACUGGGCUUCAGGCUCUGGGUUAUUGUCAGCAACUCACAAGCCUCUCUCUGGUUCGAACUUGUUACAACCGCAAGAUAUCAUUCAAGAGAAUAAACGAUAUGGGUAUAUUUCUUCUCUCCGAGGCUUGCAAGGGUUUAGAGUCAGUGAGACUCGGUGGGUUCCAAAAAGUUAGCGACGCUGGUUUUGCAUCGCUCCUGCACUCAUGUCGGAACUUGAAAAAGUUUGAAGUACGAGGUGCCUUCCUGUUGUCUGAUUUGGCAUUCCAUGAUGUCACAGGGUCUUCUUGUUUUCUUCAAGAGGUCAGACUCUCGACUUGUCCUCUCAUAACCAGCGAAGCUGUGAAGAAACUGGGGUUGUGUGGCAAUCUUGAGGUGCUCGACUUGGGCAGCUGCAAAAGUAUAUCAGAUUCUUGCCUCAACUCUGUUUCAGCCCUUAGAAGGUUAACUUCUCUGAAUCUCGCAGGAGCUGAUGUAACCGAUAGUGGCAUGCUUGCACUUGGUAAGUCAGAUGUUCCUAUCACGCAACUGUCUCUCCGCGGCUGUAAGAGAGUCAGUGAUAGGGGAAUAUCCCAUCUGUUGAUCAAUGAAGGAACAAUCAGCAAAACAUUAUCAACACUUGAUCUUGGUCACAUGCCAGGAAUGUCAGACAGAGCCAUCCACACAAUCACGCGUUAUUGCAAGGCUUUAACAGAGCUAAGUAUCAGGAGUUGCUUUUACGUAACAGAUUCGUCGAUAGAGUCGCUGGCUACAAGGGAAAGACAAGUAGAGGGAGGAAGCAAACAGUUGAGGAAGCUCAAUAUCCAUAACUGUGUGAGCUUAACGACUGGAGCACUGAGAUGGCUGAGCAAGCCGUCUUUUGCGGGUCUGCAUUGGCUCGGUUUGGGACAAACACGAAUUGCUGGUCGAAAAGAGACGGUCACAGCUACGAUUUGUGGGCAGAGGCCGUGGCUCACAUUGUGCUUCGAUGGGUGUGAGCUUGGAUGCUACGAUGGUUGGGAAUUCCACACGCCACAGCGCCACUGAAGAACUCAUCUUCUCACUAGUUCAUCAUGUAUUAUAUAAAGUCGUUCAGAAUCAUAAUUCAUUAAAUUAGUUUGUGUAAUUUAUUUCAACUUUUCAACAUUUGAUGUAAUUUAUAAACUAGUUGCAAGAAUUGUAUCAUCUUUAAUAUUAUAUACUCGUAAUCUCGAAGAUAAGACUUUUUAUUAAUUUUGUUUAUAAUAUUAUAUAUAUUCUCUUUCUGUUUUGUAAGGUUAUGAAGGAUAUCACUGAUCACUGAAAACAUCAUUGACACAGCAGCUUGCAAUAAUAAUACUUGGCAGAAAGUAACAAAACCAUUGUGAUUCAUAAAUAGUUUUAACCAAAACAUUUAACUAGUAAAAGAAAGAAAGAUGAUUAAAGUGGCUAUACAGUAAUAUAUAAGCCUGAGCAGAUGGCAGAUGGCAGCAAGGCAGCAAACACUUGAAAUCUGGAGCCAAGCCAAGCCAACUACUCAAGAUUUGACUUGUGAUUGGUUAAGCAGUCAAAAUUGAUUAGUUAGAUCACUAUGAAAGAAAAACAAAGAUACCAUUAUUUGCUAUUCUUAUAUAUUUGAUUAAAAUUAAGAUGUUGGAUUCACAUGUUAACGACAAAUGUUACCUAAAUCAACCUCACGUGUCGGUUUCACGAACCGAACAUCCGAAAACCAGAGUGUUGUCUCUUCUCCUUUUAUACAAUUCUUGUGGAGUUCCUCUUAUUAAAACACAUUAUUUUUUUCCUAUUAGGUCAUAUCGUCCUUCAAAAUAUAUAGAGACUUAUUCCAGUCAUUAGUCAUAUCUCUUAAUUCUUAUAUAAUCCUCAUUGCAAGCAUCUUAUACUUACCAAUAUAUUAAAGGUCGCAUAUCUCAACUUCUUUGUAUCAAGUAAUGGUCAGAAGGUUGUAGCAUAGAUAUUCAACGUAAUUAAUUAANNNNNNNNNNNNNNNNNNNNNNNNNNNNNNNNNNNNNNNNNNNNNNNNNNNNNNNNNNNNNNNNNNNNNNNNNNNNNNNNNNNNNNNNNNNNNNNNNNNNNNNNNNNNNNNNNNNNNNNNNNNNNNNNNNNNNNNNNNNAAAAUAGAUUGAGAUUGAUGGAUGGAAGUAAAUAGAGAGAGUGGGUGUGUCGAAGAGCAUGAGGGCUUGCUUCUGUCAGUAAGCAUAUGAAAUAUUUAUAUUUCACCUAAAACCCUAAAUCCAUUUUCUCUUCUUUUUUUCUUUUUCUUUUUUUUUUCUUAUAAUUUUUCUCACGAGGUAUUUUUCCACAAGGCCAUAUUUAGAUACUUCAUUUGGUUUUCUUCAUAUUUCAUAUUUUUUUAUUUAAAGAUACCAACUUAAUUUGUUGGAUGAAGUUUAGGUUUCUACCUACACGCAAAAUUGUCUUUCAGCUCAUGACAACGUACGUCAUCUUUGUUACAUGUUUCACCGUCUUGUCAUAUGUAAUUAUUUGAUGUUUGAUAUAUUAGUAAUACAAAUAAAAUAUAUAUAAAGUGGUUUUUUUAAUUUGAUUAUAAAAUAGCUGACAAGUAAUUUGAAUGUUUCCAUUAAAACAGUCAAACUGUAUUAAAAUUAUCUCUAAUGUCUUCUCUUGUAUCAGCAUAUAGUUGACCAAAAAAAUAUAAUAACAAAUGUCUUCUCCUAUAUCAGUAUAUAGCUGACUUUAUGAUGAAACACUUAAUAUGUACGUUGACAAACAAACAAAAAAAUAACUAAUAUAAUUUGUUCAACGAAGAAGUUUAAUUUAUAGUGUAUAUUAGGACACAUUGGAACAAUAAUAAUUAGUAAAAUAGAGAUAAUGUAUAGUAGUAGAGCCUAUGUAGAUAUAUAUAGAUAUUUACCAGUAAAAAUAAGCUCAUAUCUAUGGGGACAGUUUCGUAGUCCACCGGCUUAAGUUUUUCUCUUUUGAGCGUUGUAUUUCACCUAUGGUUCCACAACAAGUUUUAUUAAACAAGUUUUAUUAAAUAAAAAGUAAACAAGUUCUCAAUUCUACCAUAGGUUAAUGUAGUAUGUAUGUAUUUGGAUGUGGUGCGCAUAUAUAUGGUUGAACAGAAAGAUCGGAUCUAAAUCUGAUCAUUGCUUUUUGAAUUCAGACAUAACUAGACGCGUGUGUAUAUGUGUAGGUGUGUUGAUAUGUGUGCAGUGUUUUAUUAAUUGUAUGUAUGUAUAAAUCAAUAAAUGUGUUAGGGCAAAGAGUGAACACAAGUGUAUGAAAAAAAGGGAAGAGACGGGAAGGCAACGAGACACGAGAGACGAGAGAGAUACCUAUGAACCACGACUUGUGUGUUUUUGUUUCAUGUUAAUUAAGAAUUAGUACUACAAAACAUAACUAACUAAGUACAUAUAAUAUAGUAUUAAGAUCACCCUUUUGUAAUUUAUAAAAACUACUAACACAAGUAUAAAUAAACACACCCUUUUGUUUUAUUUUUGACAACUUUGAUGCUUUUGUUUCACCCGACAAAUCGGCACCUUUUAGGGUUUUCAUUACCUGUUUCUUCCUCAAAGACAAAUCCCUUUUUUCACCCCCAUUACUUUACUAACUCUCCAUAUAAAAAUAUUAGUAAUUACUUUGAUUAUAAACUAAUCGAUCAGUACCUGUCUUGGAAAUAACGAAAACUACUCAUCAUUUUUUUAACUCGACAAAGGAAAAAAAGAAUUUUCGGGAAACAAAAGGAAACACUUGGUUGUUUGAUUAUUCUUCUAAAAGAUCUUCUCUGUCGACACUAACCCUAAUUAUCAAUUAAACAAAUGUUUUUAUUUUAAUUGGCAUCCAAAUGGUGGUCUUUAUAGUUCGUUGUCCAAGUAUGAACUAUGAUACUGAUUGUAGAUACUAAUUAGUUUUAACUUUAAUUUGGUCAGAGAGUUGGAUUUAUUCUUAUAAGGAAAAUACUUAUAUUUUCUUUUUAAAAAGGGAACAAGUAUUCAUACUGAUUAAAAAAAAACUGUUUUACGUACUAUAUAUCUUUUGAAAUAUAUAUUUUUAAAAUAUUUAUUACCCAUAAUUUUUAUGAAUUUUUCUUCUUAAGAAGCUCCUUAGUCUAUUGGAAAAUUUAAUUAGUAAUUUCAUAACUUGUAAGACAAAAUAAAAUUAUAUAUAUAUUAUCAAUUUAUGAUUUUGAUUGAGUAUUGGGUUAUCAUGGGUUGUAUAUACAUAAAAUUUCUAAAAUCUACACACACACAAACCACCCACCAAAAGAAGUUUGGAGAGAAACAAGAGACUUUGUCCAAGUGAUUUCAAUCUCCGAGCUUCUCCCAAAGGCCAAAGCCAUAGACUAAUGAACAUCUAAAUACAAACUCCUCCUAUUUAAUUUGCCUAAUCACUGAAAGCGUCCGUUAGCUAGAUACAGCUUAGUCUAUUUAAUUAGAACGGAGAGUGUUUGUGUUAUACGUAUUCAUGAGUGACUUGAUUAGGGAGUUGUUACCAGAGGAUCUUCUAAUUGAUACUAUAUCCAAUAUAUAAAGAUUAAAGUCAGUUCGAAAGUAGACAUGCAAUGCAGAUGAUCCCUAUUUGGUUUAGAGAUUUUUGAAGACGCAUACGGAAUAAUUCUUCUGUUUUUGUUUGGGUGUAUACAGUAUACAUAUAUUAGUUUUUUUUUUUUUUUGUCAUCUAUAUGUUAGUUUUAAAUUAACAUCAGUACUGUUGAAUUUAUUAAUUUCUUUACUUUUUCAUAUAGUAACGUUGACUUAUUUUUAUUAAUUUCUCUAUUAUACCUUAGCUUCAAAUUUUUUUUUUCUCUCAUUCAUCCGGAUUUGACUUUCAUUUUAAUAGAUCAUACGUAUACAUUAGGGCUUAUAUAUUGGACUUUAAUAUCAUGUGACAGAACCAUAAAUUCCUAUUUCAAAUCAGUUUUAAGUAUAAAUAAAAUUGACCGAUAUAUGUUUUUCCUAUUGUAAUGAAUUAGUUCUUUCCAAUUUUUUGACUUAAAUAGCUGGUAAAAGCUCUACAAUGUUCCAUUUUAAUCAAAAAAACUAAAGUAUAGGCUUGCGAGACAAAGAGGACGGUCUCAUAUAUAUAUUAUCAUCAGGACUACAUAUAAAUCAAUACUAAAUUAAAUAAAAAAAGAGCAUUAGAAAGUGGAAUCUCUCAAAAGAUCGAAGAGACAGAUUAACAACUCUCUCGUGCAAAGUAUAUUAUUAAGGGAGCCGCUUGGGUCCAAAUAAGACCAUUUCCACAAAUGUUAAGGUCUCUUUAUAUUUGUAACUAUGACGUGACUAAUUUAAAUCGGAAUAUUUCGUUCAAUUAGUUAAUAAAACUCACCUAACAUUAAAACUUAUCAUAAUGUCGUAUUGUAUUAUAUAAUAUAGAAAACCUCCACGAAAUUUAAAAAUACAUUUGAAUCAUCAGUGGAUACAUAUAUAUAGAAAUCAAAUCUUAAAACGCAUCUAAUAUACUAGUGGAUCGACUACUUGAAUCAAAUAAAAAUAGAUAUAAUAAAAAGAGACAAAAUGGGAUUAUAUAUGUCAAAACGAUACACCUAAGAUUUGGGUUUGGAAAAGAAAGAAAAAAAUAUAGAUAUUAGUAGGUUAAACACAAAAGAUUAGGUUGUCUCUCUGUUGGAGCUUCCCAAGAAACAAAAAGACACACAUCCCAAGAAGGCAAGAAUCCUCCUCCGCCGUCGUCGACAAUCUUCGCCGGAGCCAUCGUCCUCCUCCGUCAUCUCUGAUAAAUCAUUAUUUUGCCCUAACACCAAAAAUUAUCCAUCUUUUUUUCUCUAUAUUAUAUAUUAUAUUUGAAUUUUAGGUAUUUUUUUGUUCCUCCUUUGUAUCAUUUCCACGAUGAAACGGAGAAGAGUAGACGAUUUUGCCAACCAAGAAACAAAGAAUCGUUAAGGAACUGAAGAUUAUAACCUUCUGAAGGAUAAUGGAGCCUAAGAAGAAGCUUAGCUUGAGACAAAGCAAAGCUUCCAAUAGGAACGUUAACGAAACCAAAUCUCUUCAUCAUCUCUUCCCAUAUCUCAAACCUCCGAUGUCUUUGCUUCCUCUCCGUCGCUUCCGCCGCCACGACAUCCAUAAUCUCCUUACCGAACCACCGUUGCUCUAGGGUUAGUCUCUCUCGGCUAUUUGGCGGCAAAGUCGCUUCCAAGGAAUCAAAUAUCGCCACGUAAUGAUCCAAAGCCUCUGAGAAUCUAAUCAAGAACGAGUGAUCUCCAUGAUUAGCUUCUCUCUCAGCCAUUGUCACGAUUCUAGGGUUUAAGCUCUUGAUCACUGUUAAGAAGUGACCGAUCAAAUCUGCAUCGUCGUUAAAGAACUUGUAGAGGAAGUGAACACAGUUGACGGCAAUGGUCUCUCCUUGUACGGCGGAGAGAGCUAACAAUCGGAUCUGUAGCAAGAGCCCGGGGAGAUCUUCGUCUACGAUCACCAGCUUGUGAAACUGGAACUGGAGACCUAAAGAGUUAGCAAACCGGGUUAACCUAUCUCCGGUUCGGUUUAAUCCGGUUACAUCUCGACCGCAUCCGGUUAUGCGGAGAGAUGGUGGUGGACUGUUAGGGCUUGAUGACCUCUCUGCUAGGGCUUGCAUCAAUGGAGGCCACUGAAGUCCUUGUGAUAUAUCUAAAUCAAGUAUAUGUAGAGCUCCAUUAUCGUUUGUCUCGGUCGCGUCGAGGAUCGCCUGGUUCGCCGUUAAAUGACCGAACCGAAUAAACGGCGUUAGUUGAUUCAGCCAAAGAUAGUAACAAGACUCGAAGUCAGAGUUGUUGUUCUUGGUCCGAAACAAGAACUGUUCUUUGCACACACUGCUCGUGAACACCGUGGAGUUGGUACUCAUAGUCAUUUCGUUCGUCGUACACGUGGCAACCGUUGGAUCUUGUUCCUGUUGUAGACGGUUGAUCCGUAAGGACAAGGCUUUCGUGAAGAGAUGGGCGAGUCGCUGGGUGGAGUCGCCGAAAGGAGAAGAGUUGAGGGAGAGGAUUGAGAGUAAGUUCCGAGCGGCGGUGAAGUUAGACUGAGAGACGAAAUCAGCAGCGGUGAAAAGUAGACGACGGAGGUGAUGGGAGGCGGAGGUAGCGGCGGAGGAUGAGGAGGAGGAGGCAAGCUGACAAAAAGGAGGAGGAGGAGUCUCGGUGGUGGCAUCUUCGGAGGAGGAGCUAGAGGAUUUGAAAGAAGUAAGCAUUAGAGAAGAAGAAAAAGAUGCUUUUGGUUCAAAUGAUUCGUUUUCUCUCUCGAUCAAAUGAGUCUUUUUCAAUGGUAAUAAAUAAUAGAUAUUAAUUCCCUUUACCUGAAGGUAUAUUGCUUGUAGUAUUAUUCAAAUAUUAUAUAUAAAUCCACACUUGUACACACAUAAAUAUAUAACAUAAAUUUUAUGGAUAGAGAUGAAGAUGGACCGACCAAGCAAUUCAAGGGUCCAUGAGAAUCCUCAUCAAAGCUCAUUUUAGGGUUUUAAUUAUUAUAAAAAGUUUACUAUUAUCACACGUAGCUUAAUAACUUCUUUUUCUCUAUGAAAUACUUAGCUUUUAGUUUUGUGUAGUUUCGGUUCAUAAUCUCUCCAAUAAAAAUAUUAGAGAUGAGUUUACAAAAGGUGAAUCAUUACACAAUAUUAAGGCUUAAAAUAUAUCAUGUAGUUUAAUACUUUAUUAUUUCAUGUGUUUUUGGCAUGCAAGGACUUUAUCAUCUCCUGUUUUGGUUUCAAAUUCGGUUAAUAUAUAUAUUUAGGACUACUCUUUGCAGCAAAGGAAUCUAUUUCAUUUGUUCAUGGACGUGCACUAAAUAAAACAAAUAGUUACUACUAUAUAUAUACCCAUAAACAAUUUAGAUAUUAAUUAAAUAAAAAAGCACUAAAAAAGAUAUUAUACAUUAAAAGUUAAGACAGUUCUACAUAUCGGUCGUAUAAAUUAUAUAUAUCUGCGUUCACACGUCUUCGUCGACAAGGAUAUAUAUAUUUGAAAAAAAAAAAUUGUGCGGUGGAUCGUGGGAGAUGUCCCACUAUGCUAAUUUGAUUAUAUGGGUUUUUUGCAGAAAUUAUGCUCAUAGGUUCCAAAUAUUUAGAUUAGAUGCGUAAAUUGGGAAUUCUCGUUGGAGAUUCUUCCGAUGCCAACUUACGAGAUUUAGACAAUAUAUAGUUUUUGCUUAAUUACAAAUAUAAGAAGAAUAAGACAACAACAACUACUGUAAUAAUACUACAAGUUGUAAUUUUUAGAUGAAGGAAUCUGAAAAAAAUCUCGGGAUGUACAAAAAAGAGAGAAGUAUGUAGCUUUGCUUGCAAAAUAGAAAAGCUAUGCAAACCCCCAAAAUUGCUAAUUAUUACACCUUUUUCACUUAUUGAAAUUACCAAAGUGGUAAUGCUGCAAAAAAGAUCUCUCCUCCUCUCACCCUUUCAAGUUAAAAGGAUCCUCUCUUUCUCUCACUCACUAUAUUAUUAUUGUGUAUCUAUGGGAGUGCCUCUACAAUUAGAGAGCAUCUUUAUUGCUCAGUCACUCUCGUUUCUUCCAUCUUAUCGCAUGAUAAAUGCAUUUACAUACCUUUUUUUUUAAUAUAAAAUGCUACUUACAUACUUCCAUCAACGAGAAAGAUGCUUUCAAAUUUCAAGAUUUUAUAAACCGUUUGGUGAGUCCUUUUUUCUUUUUCUUUUUGGUUCAUCUAACCGUUUGGUGAGUUGUCCGAUAAGUACCUGAACUAUAUCCAAUUAUCCAUUGAUAAGUUUUGUAUAUAACUCCAUAAUGUGUGUUUCCAAAGAUAUACCUAUAUUCAAUUUAUGUUUAAAGCUUAUAUGAUCAAAGCUUAGCUUAUGUAUGCUACAAAGAAAUUAUAUAUGUCAGACAACUAAUUCGCCGACAUAUAACACUAGCAUAUUAAAACUUGAAUUAUAACACAAGAUAGACUCUUAAGUUGGUUAUUAUUAUUAUAUAUAUAAAAAGAAGGUAUGAAAAGAGAGCAUCUCCAAGUUGGGAUCCAAGUCAAAUCAACUUUUAAUACAAAAGAAUAGUAGCAAUUAUAUAAUUAAAAGUAAUAAGAAAUAAAUAGUGUAUACAACAUAUACAU